rnacentral:lncRNA from 1 species
AGCGACAAGGAAGAAGAGGCGGAGUACAAGGAGAUUGAGGCGGAGGAGUUGGUUGAUGUCACAGAAGAAAUUGUUGCCUUUGACCUCGACCAGGAGUGAAAGCGCACAAGUCUCUCAUACUAGUCUCUCUGCUGCCGAGUGUUCAUUUUCUGCCUGCCGAGUAAAUCGCUGUUGUUUUGCAUGAUACGUGCAAGUGGAUAAUUUGUCGUUCUUUCUGCCAGUACACUUUUCCUAAAUUCACCGUCAUGUUUAUGGAGACCAAAUUUUGUGGUUGGAAUGUUAACCAUCAUAAUCUGUUUCUUUGCAAAAACGGUUAUUUCAUUUUCUUUAGUACUGUAUUUGCCUGUGAUAUCGAAAUUGUCUGAAAAAUGAUGUUCUUCCUGGUGUUUGAGCCUAGUUCUGUUGUCCAAUACUGUACUAAUGUACGGUAUCUAUUACUGUUUGAUCAACAUUGUGUUACGUCAGGAGCCCAUCUUGAGAAAAUACUCGCCUUGCUUAUUUGCAUGCAUGGUGUCAUGUUUCCAGCAAAACCUCCCACCCAACUUCGGCAUUUUGGCAAGGUAUAAACAUGAUCAACUCAGGUUUUGGCAAUUGCACAAGUGAAAUGCGUCCGGUCAACAUCAAGUGGCAGCAAUUACAGCCAAACGCAGGUAUGCCACGAACAAAUCAUAAGUAUUGAACGACUUGGUACACAGCGGCAGCCUUGUUUCCAUUUGAAAUAAGCAGAGGACAUAGGAAACCGUUAGAAGAUACUACAAAAUGUAAGCAAUUUUCGAAUAUUCAUUUUUGAGCCCGAGCUCAUCUGCACCGUAUGAACAGUAAAUUAAAAAUAAAUAAAUCAUACUUUAGUGAUAAACUGCAUCAAUAUUUGGUCCUACGCGUAUAACCUAUUACAAACCGGUGGUACCAAAAAACCUUUUCUAAAAGUAUCAGCAUCAGCAUCAGCAUCUGUUCUGCUGAUAUUUACACAAGGGGUUCAUGGCGCCAGCAACAGCGUGCGGUCGCCUCUAGCACCAGGGCAGCAUAUUGUGGAUGCUACAAUUCAGUGACUCGUGCCCUGAAUUGUAGGUGAGACAUAAGCGGUAUCUUGAUGGCCAUGGCGGUGGUAUAAGGUGGGAAGACAUCUCACCGAUUUGCUGGUGCCUUCUUCGCCAAGCAUGGAGCACAGCCAGAUGCGACUACCGAACAGUCCGUUAUCAAGAUACUGAUUAAAAACUCUUGUGAUGAUCUUUAUUGGCUAGGCUUCGCUGCGACGAACUUACCAUUACAUGCUGUAUCACUUUCUUCUUACACACCUCCCCCUCAGGUUUGAAGGAGUUUUUACAACACAUCCAACACAUUUCUCCUCACACUACUUCCGCAAUUUUUUUUACCAAAGCCGAUAAAUGAUCUGAACUAAGUUGAAGACGGUUUAUGUACGGACGCGCUUGAACUUCCUCCCGGCGUCGACACGCAGCGACGUGGACGGCACCCCGACCCUGCCGCGGUGAUGCCUUCCGCCCCCAUGGCUUCUCGCCGUGGCGUACUGCUCCUUGUGGGAGGUGAAUCUCCUCAGGCGCAGCGACCGGCGCAGCCUGUCCUUCCUCCUCUCCCUCACCGACGACGACGACCCCUCCCUCGCCCUGCCCCACCUCCUUGUACCAUGCCCGUGGCCACCAUCGCCGUCGCUCUCCUCGUCGGAGCUCCAAUCUCCAACUCCCGUCUCCACGUCCGGAUGCCGCCGGCGGCGGCCGUGGUACACGCGCUUGGUGUCCCGCAGCUUGCGCCAGAGGAAGCACGACGAUCCCUUCAGCGCGUGGCAGCAGCCGGAGCACGCCGCCCCGGCGACCUUGCAGGCGUUCUUGGCCACGCAGCGGACGAUCCCUGCCUUGCACACGAGGUAGGCGAAGAAGAGCACGACGUAGGUGAGGACGAUGACCAUGAAGAGCCUGGCCAGACUGGCGGCGCAGAGGUGCUCCAGGAAGCAGGCCACGUCCCACGUCCCCGAGCAGACGCCCUCGCAGGACGCGCUGAGGAUGGCCCUGAAGGGCGCGGCGACGGCGCCGCCGAGCAGCGUGCCCACGCCGCUCGCCGCCGUGCCCACCACGGAUCCCAUCUGAUCUGUCGUCAAGUAACUCCCUCCCUCUCUGCGGUUGAUCGAUGGCGUCUGUCUGGAUUGUUAAUCCGUUUUGUACCAAACCGUCGGCAGUUGCCUUUGGCAACGUGCGCGUUGGUUGGCUCACGUCGUCAGGUUACUACUACUACUACUACUACUUCAGGGCAUGAGACAGAACAGAUAGUACAGUAAACAUUUCCCUGGAUCUUUUGCCAAAUUCACCGACCUUCAGACAACCUUUUUAAAACAAAAGUGUUUUCUCAUGCUCAUUUCGGUUCGGCAAGAACCAGGUAGGGCAAAAUAAAUUUUGCGAAAGAAAACAUUUCCUCUUGCUUCUUCUUCGUGGCGAAAAGUUUGCCGCGCUGUUCAUGAUGAAAUCAAACUGGUGUUUUUUUGUCUCGUAUUUGCAUCAAAAUCACUUUUUCUUGUCCAAGUGGCGAAAUCUGCCAUGCCUAAACAUGGAUAUUUCAAGUAGGUGCUUGGAGUAGUGAAGCUACAAGAUGUUACAAACAAAGCACUAGCAAUAAUAACAGGUAGAAACAGCAAUUGGUUAGAAGCCGCAAGCGCCAGGUUACUAGUGCUGCUCCAGGGAACGACACAGAACAUAUGAACAGUAAACAGUUCCCUGGAUCUUUUGCCCAAUUCACCGACCUUUGGGCAACCAACCUGAGACUAAGGUUGGUUCAAGUGCAAAUUUCAUCAUUUACCACUUCCCGCAAGACAAAAAGGAAAAGCUAACGAGCCAGUUACAUUCUCCGGGCUCCGGCGCUACUCGGCGACCCGGCAAUGCCAUACGACCACCGUGCCAUUCAUGCCAUUGCAACCACCGAGGGCCAAUCCCAGUCCGCACAGGACCAGACCAACCUCGGAAUGGCUGCCACUGAAUUCCAUGAUCCAACAACCAAAGAUAGAACAAGCUUAACGUUCAGUGACGAUAAAGUUUGUCGACACUUGAACUGGAAUCAAGAUACUACGGUUAGCGACUGCAUCCAGUUUACAAACGAUGGGUACCAUGGAAGUCUUAUAAAAACCACAGGAUAUUCUUGCUGGAAGUUUUCAGACUAACAAAAGGUGCUAGCAACGAAACAAAGCCUCAGAUUCUGCAGGCAAGACAGGCGCGUCAGUUACUUUCCAGGGCAACGAGCAUUCUUCGCUGCCUCUUGGGCUUCCCUGCGACCAAAAUAUUUUGAACAUGAACAUUGUCAGAAAUCUGUGUACAACUCCUUUCCCUGAAGAUCAAUCCUAAUAACACAGGUCAACACUAGGUGCUCUUUCCACGAUUAGUAAAUCGCUCCGACUCAAGAAAAGAACUCAACAGACUUGAAUCCAUGUAAUGUAAUGUAUCAUUUAUCCUUUCACUUAACUUAUGAAAACAUGGACCAGUUACCUGAAAGCAUUUGCGAGAUCACCAUUUGUAGGGUCAAGCUUCAAGCCAUCCACAAAAGCCUCACAUGCUCUCUCGUACUUCUACAAAUACACACCAUAAAAUGAUCAGUUAUACGAUCAUGAUCACGGAUGCUUGAAGAAAACUACUGUGUUAUUUUUACCUUCAAUAACAUAAGAGCUGCCCCUUCUCGGUAGCAGGCUUUUGGCCAAAGAGGUCGCCCCAUUCUGCACAUGGUAGCAUAAGACAGAGCAGCUCUUCCAUUUCCAGCACGCAACGCGCAGAGACUCAUAUUUGCCAAUAUGGUUGCAUACUCAUCUGGACUAGGGUCAAAUGACAUUGCCUACAACACAUCAAUCACAUGCAGCUUUUAGCAAUAUCUAAAAAACUGAGUACUGAUAAUAAUCAUAUCUUUUACGAUGGCGCUCAGAUAGUGUUGUUCUGAUUGAUAUAGAGAUCCCUGUACACAUGAAACCAGCAAAUGUAUUGGAUAAAUUUCAAAAUAGGCACUUUUGUAUAACAGUAAUGUGUUACCACAGCCCUUUGAACACUGUUAAACAUGAUAUGUCACGUAGUUGAAAGGCGCACUACUUAGGUGCACCGGUUUACCUAAACCGUAUUGGCUAGAUAGAGUUAGUUAGUCAAGAUCUCAUGUAACAAUAUUCAUCUCUAUAUCUCCAUUCUUUCUUGAUUCUCAAGAUGUAAUCUCAACUAUAUGUAUGCUUAUCUCAGGGAGAUGCCUCUGCCUAUAUAACACACAACCGUCGCCUCCAACGAGGUACGAAGCUCACCGCUCGCUUACAUGGUAAUAAAAGCCUCCUCUAUCCACUACAUCUAGCCAAACCCAUCCCCAGCCAUGUCGUCCUCCUCCGGCAUCGUCCAGACCGCCCUCACGCAGAGAAGCUCUCUCGCACCAACUACGUGUUGUGGCAUGCACAGGUGACGCCGCAGCUUAGGGGAGCUAGUUGCUUUGGCUAUGUCGAUGGCAUCACACCAGCGCCCGUCAAGUUCCUCACCACGAAGGACAAAGACGGAAAAGAUGCGAAAACGCUCAAUCUUCUCUACUCGAUUUAGGUUAGAGAAGGACAACAGGUACUCAAGACACUUGUCGAAUAACCUCUCCAAGGAAGUCCUUGUGCAGGUCACUUCCAUUGCCAUGCCGCACGAGAUUUGGGCUGCUCUUGUGAGCAUGUUCUCGUCGCAGUCCAAGGCCCGCGUCAACAACAUCCAGAACGUGCUCUCCACGGUGCAGAAGGGGCCGCAAACCGUGGUGGCAUACUUUGCUCACAUUCGGUCUCUCGCAGAUGAGCUUGCAGCCGCUAGGAAGCCGAUCGACGACGACGAGCUGAUCUCCUACAUCAUCGCCGACCUCGACAUGGAGUACCAGCCCCUUGUCUCGGCCAAUGAAGCCCUCACCGAGAGCAUCAGCCUCAGACGACGUCUUUGCUCAGAUGAGCAACUUUGACCAGCUCAUCGCCCUCUUCCAUGGUGCGAGUUCUGGUGGGGGAUUCAAAUUCUCUGCCGACGCCGCUUUCCGUGGCCGUGGCAGCGGUGGCUCAUGUCGCUACCGCGGGCCUCCAUGCAGCAAGGGCAAGCCAUCAAGCGGAGGCGGAUGACCCUCCUACAACAACAAGGGCCGCCGCAAAUCAAGCGGAGGCGAAUGUCACGCGCUGCCAAAUCUGUGGCAAGCCAGGCCACACGGUGCGCGACUGCUAGUAUCGUUUCGAGGAAGAUGAUGAAUCUUCCCAAGAUGAGAAAGUGGUAGUGACGGUAGAUGGCUCCUACAGCGUCGAUACCAAUUGGUAUGUCGACAGUGGCACCACAAAUCAUACCACGGGAGAGCUGGAAAAGGUGACCAUGCAUGAAAAGUACCGCGACCAGGAGCAAGUUCACACUGCCAAUGGAGAAGGUAUGAGAAUUAGUCACGUUGGUCAUUCAGUAAUAAAACACCUUCAUAGAAAAAUUCAUCUCAGAUUCUUUUUGCAUAUUCCUAGUGCUUUGAAAAACCUCCUUUUCGUUCAUUGUAUUACCAUUCAUAAUCAUGUCUUCCUCAAAUUUCACCCGUUCUUAUUUUUGAUCAAGGAUCAGGCCUCGAGGAAAAUCCUAUAUCGAGGUAGAUGUGUUCGAUGGCUUUACCCGUUGAUUCCAGAGGUUAGGAGAUUCAAUAAAUAAGCCUAUGGUGUCACCAAAGUCUCUCCAACACGGUGGCAUGAUAGAUUAGGACAUGCAUCUUUUUCUUUAAUCAAGCAAGUAAUUAGAAGAAAUAAGCUCUUGUUUGUUCUUUGUUGGUGAGCGUAGUUGUGAAACAAUUUGUGAUUCCUGUCAACGCGCUAAAAGUCAUCAAUUACCUUAUCCGGUUUCUACGAGUGUUUCUACCAAACCACUUGAGCUCAUUUUCUCGGAUGUUUGGGGUCCUUCUCCUACUUUUGUCAGUAGACAUUCCUGUUAUGUGAGUUUUAUCCAUGACUACAACAAAUAUACUUGGAUCUACCUUCUUAAAAAAGAUUCGAUGUAUUUCAAGUUCUUCACAACUUUCAAGCACUUGUCGAAAGAAAAUUUGAUUGUGAAAUUCUAGGCCUACAAUCGGAUUGGUGAGGGGAAUACAGAAACCCCAAUUCCUUCUUCCAACAAAUUGGCAUGCCACAUCAUGUGUCAUGUCCCCAUGCUCAUCAACAGAAUGGAUCUGCUGAACGUAAGCAUAGACACAUCGUUGAAGUAGGGUUAUCAUUGCUUGUUGUCGCAUCCAUGCCCUUGAAAUUUUGGGAUGAAGCCUUUCUUACCGUAGUUUAUCGUAUCAAUAUGUUGCCUAGUCGUGUCAUCACAAUGAAACUCCGGUAGAACGUAUUCUCCAUACAAAACCUAACUACACAUCUCUACGAGUGUUUGGGUGUGCUAGUUGGCCAAAUCUUCGUCCUUAUAACAAUCGCCAGCUCAUGUUUAGAUUAAAACAAUGUGUUUUUCUCGGUUAUAGUCCACACCACAAAGCUGUCAAAUGCCUUGAUGUAUCCACUGGACGUGUCUACAUUUCUUGUGAUGUUCUGUUCGAAGAAACCGUUUUCCCCUUUGCACAUCUUCAUCCCACUGCCAGCGCCCUCCUCCAAAUAGAAAUCCUUUUGCCAUCUCACCUCACCGUUAUUGAUCAAGGGGAACACUAUAAUACUGGUGAUCAAUUGUUGACUAAUCCUCUUACUAAUGAUGAACAUGAGUCUUGUGAUGAAGCAGAAAAAACGGUAUAGAAAAUGAUGAAGAAAUUGACCCAAAUCGGUAUUCUAUGCCUACUGGACAAGGCAACAACAACGACGGAGCGGAUCAGCCUCAGGAACAAGGCGAAUCGGCCUCAGGAUCCUCACACCGCAGGUCUGCACUGCGCCAGUGAGUGGGAUCAACCCCGGGAUCCACACCGCACUUACUAUAGCGACCCACUCCAGAAUCCGUGCCAUGUCAUGACGCCAGCAGUGGAUCGGCCGACCGUGUUGCUCCGCGCCAAUCAUCCGAGGCCGCGUGGUCGCAUGCAGACCAGUCGGCGCACAUACAGUUCGGGGACGAACCACGUUGCUACACGUGGCGUGUGCAGCGCCAGGACCCUGGCUCGGAGUCCCGCAUUGAUUCCGCCCAGGCCACUCCAUCAUCGGCUCAUGAUGAGACUGCCGCAGGUGCGGGAUCUUCUGCGCCACCUGGCUUCUCUGAGCCGCGCGCUGCAGCCACAGAACAUCCGCCAAGGUUGUCGUGCCCAUCCUCCUCGGGCUUGUGUGUUGCCCUGCUGCGGGAUCUUCCGCGCCGUCUGCUAAACCUUCUGUGCCGGCUCCUUCGCCACCACGGACAAGGCUUCAAAGGGAGUAACUCGACCCAAAAAAUAUAAACACACAGCAAAAGUUGGUCUUACUUGUAGUACAAAUGAACCAAAUAUUGUUGCAAAAGCCCUGAGCGACCCACGGUGGACGAAGGCUAUGGAAGAGUAGUACAUGACGCUCCAGAAAAAUAAAACUUGGCAUUUAGUUCCUUUCGUCAAGGUAAAAAAUGUGAUUGACUGCAAAUGGGUCUUCAGAAUUAAAAAGAAGUCUGAUGGGACCAUAGAUUGCUAUAAAGCUAGACUAGUUGGAAAAGGCUUUAAGCAAAGGUACCUCAUAGAUUAUGAGGACACUUUCAGUCCUGUUGUAAAGGCUGCCACUAUUCGUCUUGUUUUGUCUAUUGCAGUGUUCAGGGGAUGGAGCUUGAGACAACUAGAUGUACAGAAUGCGUUUCUUCAUGACAUUCUGGAAGAGGAAGUGUUCAUGAGACAACCUCCUGGGUUUGAGGACAGAAAUACAUCCCAUCAUGUGUGCAAGCUUGAUAAGGCCUUGUAUGGACCGAAGCAAGCUCCUAGGUCAUGGUACUCCCGUUUAAGUUCAAAACUUAAAGCACUUGGGUUUGCUCCUUCCAAGUCAAACACCUCAUUGUUUAUUUAUAAUAAGUCAAAUACUUCCACAUUUGUGCUUAUAUAUGUUUAUGACAUCAUUGUUACAAGUUCAUCAAAUGAGGCUGUUACAAGAUUGUUAAAAGAUUUAAACUCUGAGUUUGCUCUCCAGGAUCUAGGAGACUUGCAUUAUUUUCUUGGCAUUUGAAGUGUAGAGAAAUGGAGAUGAUUUUCAUCUAUCGCAAGAAAAGUAUGCAACUGAUCUUGUAGCUAGAGUUGGGUUGCCGGGUUGUACACCAUCAUCAACACCACUGUCUAGCACAGAAAAAUUAUCCUUGUCACAAGGAGAACUCUUGAAUCAAGAGGAUAGUACCAAGUACAGACGUAUGGUUGGUGCUUUACAGUACCUAACUCUGAUCAUGCCUGAUAUUUCCUUUGUUGUCAACAGGUAUGUCAGCUUAUUCAUGCACCUACUACAAUGCAUUUGCCAGCUGCAAAACGCAUACUUAGAUAUGUUAAAAAUACUUUGAGCAUUAGACUAACAUUCAGCAAGUCACCAUCAACUCUUGUCAGUGCAUUCUCUGAUUCUGACUGAGCAGGUUGCCUAGAUGAUAGGCUCUCAACAAGUGGCUUUGCAAUGUUCUUUGGACCAAAUUUAAUCUCCAUGUGUGCAAAGAACAUGCCACAGUUUCGAGAUCUAGCACAAAGGCGGAAUACAAAGCAUUGGCAAAUGCCACAACAAAAAUUAUUUGGGUUCAGUCUUUGCUGAAAGAACUUGGGAUGCGUUGUAAGCAGGUCCCAUGUCUAUGGUGUGACAAUCUAGGUGUCACCUAUCUUUCUGCUAACCCGUUUUUUCAUGCAAAGACCAAACAUAUCAAAAUAGAUUCUCACUAUGUCAGAUAAAGAGUUGCUGCAAAGAAACUGGAUAUUCGUUUUAUUCAUUCCCAAGAUCAAGUUGCAUAUGGUUUCACCUAUGCCUUAUCUACAAGGAGCUUCGAAGAAUUCAAACGUAAUCUCAACUUAACAAAGCUGUGAUUAUGGAAGGGUGUUAAACAUGAUAUGUCACGUAGUUGAGAGGCGCACUACUUAGGCACACCGGUUUACCUAAACCGUAUUGGCUAGAUAGAGUUAGUUAGCCAAGAUCUCAUGUAACAAUAUUCAUCUCUUCUCUCCAUUCUUUCUUGAUUCACAAGAUGUAAUCUCAACUAUCUGUAUGCCCCUCCUAUAUAACACGCAACCGUCGCCUCCAACGAGGUACGAUGUUCACCGCUCGCUUACAAACACAAACUGCUCAACUACAUCGUAAUUACACAUGUUUUACCAGAAAGAGGUGGCAGUACAUGCAACCUAUUUUCGAUGUGAACAAAAAUAUAGUAUGGACUGAGAUUAACAGUUUACAUAUAUAAAAAAUAACAAUCACUACAGGCAAUAAAAAUGGGCCCUAGUGACUUACACAACUAUACAUCUCCGAUGCCAUAAAAUAUUCCCCUCUCUUAAAAGCCUCCGAAGCUUUCUGUUUUAGUUCUAUUCUUCUCUUUGCACACAUUUGUUUAUCCUGAUGACAGAAGCGGUUAGGAUAAAUAUGUAGACAUAUCCUGUAAUGUAAAACAUGAAAAAUGUACAAAUUUGUAAGUCUCAGCCUAUAUCACCUAAUUAAUGUAUAAGACUAGAAAAAUCGAAAGUGUUCUUCUACUCCCGAGCUCAAAUGAGCUCGUGUGAACAGUAAAACAGAGAAAAAAAUGAACAAACAAAAAAACUGUUUUUUUGGUGAUAACCUUUGACAAAUAUGUUCUAUUCUUGAAAAUUUUCAUUGCGAAAUAACAUUCUUGGAAGUCAUGGCAAAAAAAAACAGUACUCCAAAAUGCUUUGAAAAAUAGCAUUCUAGGAGCAUUGAUUUCGAUUUUUUUGCCACGGCUUCCAGGAAUGUCCAUUCAUGACAAAUUUUUGCAAGCACAUAAAACAUUUCUCAAAAAUUGGCACAAAAAAACGGAUUUUUUACUUUUUUUUUUCUGAUUUUACUGUUCACCAGGGAGCAUUUGAGCUCGGGUGCAAAUACUCCACUUCCUAGAAAAAUGUGCUGUACUGCAGUGCUGCAGGAUUUAUCCGGAGCUCAAGGUGUAUCCUAAUUAAUGUAUAGGACUAUAAAUUUGUAAUAAAAACUAUUGUCCGGUGUUGCAGGGCUGGAACAAUAUCAUCCAAGAUAACUUAUUAGUCUAGCACAUUAAUAGUUCACCGUACGGUCAUACCCAAAGGCACCAAAAGUAAAAUUUGUGAAUGGAAUGUUUUGUUUGCACAAUAUAAUCUACAAUAAUCGUGAAUUAAAACUAUUUCUACUCUAAAUGAUAGGCAGAACUGCAUGCCAAAGACCAAAACUACAGGGUGAUGCAUGAUAAAUAACAUAUGGAGCUGCAAGUGAGCACAGAAGGAAACACAUACCCCUGGCUUCAAACCAUAGUGUUUCCCAUGAGAAAUGAUUCCAUCAAUACUCCAGUCCGGCAGCGUUGAAAUAGGAGAAGUUAAAGGGAAUAACAUUUCAACCAUGUCCCUACUGCCUGUAGAGGCAGCAACUUCAAUUGGUGUGCGACCACACUGCAACAGUAAACGCCAGAUAUAAAUACAAAAUGUAAUUGGGAGAUUUGCACAUUAAUAGUUAGGAAUCACAGCCUAACAUUUCACCCAAAUGGUUGGAUGGACUUCAAGAGAAUCACUAUGCAAGGACAAACGGUGGAACAGCCUACCUGUCCUAGUACUAUAUGACACACCUAGGUUUCCAAGCCAAAAUAACGCGUUACAUGCAACCUACUAGCUAGUACUACACAUCCAACACGUUUAGAUUACUCUAACAUUGUACACCCUACUUCGGGGUAUAAUCUAUCAUGCUGAUCUGAGAGUGAUAUUAUUCAGAUGGAUUUUUGGAGAUCCACUUUUACAUGGAGGUGAAUCAACGAUAUCAAAGCAUGACUAAGUGAGAUGGAUUGAAGAGAUUGAGGAAUACUGCUAUAAAUUUGGUAUCUCCGAUUAAUUGAUAGCCUACGGUAUAAUAACCAGCAACUUUGCUCUACCAUAAGUUCUCUAUUUUUACAUCCUUUUGCUUAUGUAUUUAGUAUUUACAGUACCUAUAAUACUACUUAAACCAAGUUGCAAGAAGGUACCCUCACAGAAUAAGAAGUGACAUAAGCUUACUGAAUUCCCCUGACCAUGUGUCAUCAGGAAUUGACGAAUGUCAGAUGUAUAAGUACAACCUAACAAUUCCAUUUUAUAAUCCCACAUAGGUAUAACUCAUGCAUUUUUCUUGUUCGCAACUCAAAAAUGGAUUUCGGUUAUGCAUAGAAGCAGCAUCUUCUCUUCUACUUGCUGCACUGCAUACUGCAUAUACAGUCAUCACAAACGUCUUAAUCCUUGAUCUUAAUAACCAAUACAAUGUGGGUUAUGUGUCACAAAAAUUAUACCAUUAAAUUUGUAUAUAAAGAAUUUUUCAAUGGUAUAAUUUUUAAGUUACACGACUUGUGUAUUAUUUCGCUAACUGUUAAAUCUCAAAAAGCAUGUGUGCCGUCUUUUGUAAGCCUAUUCCUGGCGUCAGACGAAGUGUCGGUAAGAAGAUUAUCCUAAUCUGUCAAGUGUCAAGAGUCUAAAGCCUAACAUGACCUCAUAGAGAAGAAAUGGAACAAUGUUCAGCUAACAGCAUAUGCAUGAAAAGUAGAUGAUGACAAGUGACAACAGCAAAAUAGGAAAACAAGUAAAGCUCACUUCAUCAGGAAUAUUGGGGUUAGCACCAGCAUUUAGUAAGAACUUCAUGAUACCAGGUAAGCCAAACUUCACUGCCAACAUCACGUAACUACCACCACCGAAGUCAAUAAAAUUCAGAUCAGCACCAGCCUGUGCAAAUGAAUAAUUAGUUGAUCAUUUGCUUCAGCUAAUGCUUGAUAUGUCAGCCACAGAAAACAUAUACACAAGGAAAAUGAAGCUGUGCCUACAGAACUUUAACAAAGCUCCAUAUGAAGAAAGAGUACUGACCUUAACAAGCAGCUUGACACAUUCCAACGACUCUCUUGGCAUGGGCCUGAUGGCCCGGAGGGCCCAACUCAAUGGGGUGUAACCAAGACCACAAACCUUGUUAGGCUGUGAAAAGUGGAAGAAUCAAUCACUUACACAGUUACACUUGUCGGAAAAAAAGAGUGAUCAAUAAAGAAAUUGAUUUCAAGAUACGUCAAUAGAGAAAUAAAAUCGACCCAUGGUGUGUUAAAUACGCCCUACGUCCCAAAAUAACUGUCGUAGAUUUAGUACAAACUUGUACUAAUUUUGUAGUAAAUUGGGCGACACUUAUUUUGGAACGAAGGGAGUAUAUUGGUAUUUUUGAAGGCAACAGAAAGAAAUAUAUUUACGUAGAAAUUAGACAUAGCAUGUACUUGGCUUCUGGGAAAGUGAGCACAUUUUACUAUAGGAUAAUUAAGUACUGUCCAUGAUGAAUCUUUGUUGCUUCAAAUACAACGCAAAUCUUUUGUUCAGAUGGAUCACAAGUAUCAAAUGCAAUAAGUUUUUCCAUUCCAGUGCAUUCCUAAAUAGAAUAUACAGAUGGAGCACGAGUACCACUGCCCACAUGAGAGAACCAAGAAACUGGUGUCUUACAUCGGCAUGGUGCUCCAACAAAAUCUUCAUUGCGUCAUGUCGUGUAGAAAUAGCAGCUGCAUGCAAUGGUGUCCCUUGUGCAUAAUCUAAAUUCACAUCGAUUCCUCUUGAAAGCAGCAGUUCUACUAUUUCACAAUGUCCUGGAAAACAAAGUUUCAAAAAAAAAAAAGAAUGAGACAUGAAUAUUUUCUAACAUGUAACUGACUUUACACAUCUGCGCUAAAAUUUAACUCUGGGCCAGUUUUCAGUUUUGUGAUCAUGAACUGCCCAGUAACCUUUUUGGUUACCACAUAUCUCAUCGAGGAUAAGGUUUACAAAAGUGGUUGGACUGGGACUACUCAAAUUUUAUUUGUUUAUCCUUGGAAAUAGAAGAAAGUCGUCAUCAACACCUUGGAUAAGAUUGGAUAUCCAACUUCAAAAUUCCAAGCCUCAAAGUUCUCCCCACACUCGAUAAUCUUUCUGCGGCCAUCAUCCAAAUCAUAUAUAUGGGAGUCUUGUUCGAUGGAAAUCACAUAAAAGCAUAUGGCAAGAUCUGCUAAAAUAGUAACAUCAAGCAUCACACUAGCCAAGAGAGGUGUCAUAGUAGUCAACUGUCACGAUCCCAAGACUGAAGGUUAUAGCUCCAUGCGCUGUGACGCGUGUCUCUUGCUUACUUUAUUCCUUAGCCAAAUCUAUUCAAACAGAGAGAGGCUACCAAACAAAUGUUAGCAAAACUAAGACUAAUCUUAUCAAAAGAAAACUAAUAAGUAAUUUGAAGGAAUGGAUCGAAUUUGGAUCAAUCGACCCAGAAAUGCUUACUUCUCUCUCGAUGAUAUGGGGCACUGAUUUCAUCUAACAGUGAAAAUUUCAGAAUUUAUUAUAACCGGAUAAAAAAAAAGAAGAAUCCUGAGACUAAUCUUGGACUGACUAAGAAUUAGGAAAACUAUUAGGAGAAAGGUUUAUCCAGUUAUCUCCAAGGCUGAUUCGGUGCCUUUUGCACCUCCUACGACUAGUUAGGAUCGCUAUACCUGCUAACUCGCAGCUGCGGGGCCAUGUUGGCAGCCUUAUUCCUAUAGAGAAGCUUUUUUUUUCAAUGAACUUCGUUGGAAAUUUGGUACUCUAACUACAUUUCCAAAUCUUACAAAGCAAACUACAAGUUUGAAACAUUAGGCGAUAAAUUUCAGGAUGAGAGGAAUCAUGUACUUUUGCAGCUUGCCAUCUAGAGGUGAGAAUAUGUUGCAUUGUUUUGGGAGAUAUUUUCUGACAUAUUGAACAACAGGAUCUUUUUCGUGAAUACACUAGGCACGUAUCUUUGCGUUGACAGCCUCGACGAUCAUGUGAGCGGAGGGCGUCUCGCUGUCAAAGAUGCAGGCGUUCCGAUGCUUCCAGAUGUGCCAGGCCGAGAUGGUGAUGAGGAAGCCUAGUCAGCGCCGGAAGCUCGGGGUGCAGGUCACGGCUGCCAUGGUCCACCAAUCUUAGAAGCUAGUGGAGCCGUCAGGCGGCAGCAGAGGUAGUCGUGCCCAAGAGAGGAUCUCAUGCCAGGAAAUCCGCGAGAUCACGCAGCCAACAAGAAGGUGAUGUAAGGUUUCGUCCUCCCGAGAACAGAGGAUGCAAGUGGGCUCGUGGUCAAGGUUGUGCCGUGCCAGUCGGUCGGCUGUCCAGCAGCGGUUUUGGGAGGCCAGCUAGAGGAAGAAUUUGACAUUUAGCGGGGCCCAGUGUUUCCAGAUGAGGCGCCAGAAGGAGGCUUCCGUGGAGCUGUGAAACAAGGCAAGGUAGGCAGACUUGGCAGUGUAANNNNNNNNNNNNNNNNNNNNNNNNNNNNNNNNNNNNNNNNNNNNNNNNNNNNNNNNNNNNNNNNNNNNNNNNNNNNNNNNNNNNNNNNNNNNNNNNNNNNNNNNNNNNNNNNNNNNNNNNNNNNNNNNNNNNNNNNNNNNNNNNNNNNNNNNNNNNNNNNNNNNNNNNNNNNNNNNNNNNNNNNNNNNNNNNNNNNNNNNNNNNNNNNNNNNNNNNNNNNNNNNNNNNNNNNNNNNNNNNNNNNNNNNNNNNNNNNNNNNNNNNNNNNNNNNNNNNNNNNGCACCAAAGCUCCACGUACUCGACAAUGGCCUGGGGAGUGGGGACCCAGAGCACCGCGGAUGCCGCCGAUCUAGAUGCGCUGGUGGAGGCCCUCGCAUACGAGCCGGCGGCGUCUGCAUACAAGCGAGGGCGCGAGGUCGAUGACAGAAAGGCCAACCAGCCAGUGGUCCUCCCAGAAAAGGCAGGUCUUACUGUCGCCAAGAGCCCAUGUAGUAGAGGCCCGAAAGAAGGCCUUGAUUCGUAGGGAAGGUGAAGAUGGCGCCACAGUCGCGAGGCGUCGAUGGCCUGAAGACAAAGCCAUCGGGUGCUAAGGGUGAUGUCGGAUCGGGGAGCGGCAGUCCCAAGUAUUUGAUUGGGAAAUCAGCCAUGGGGCAGGCGAGGGCAGCCUGAAUGUCAGCAGGUGCAGACGGGGGGCACUGGAUGGCCAUGGCGGUGCACUUGGCAAUUCGUGCACAGGCCCGAUGCGCUACCAAAGAUGUCGAGGAUGGCACGCACCAUGGAGAGCUCGAUGGGAUCGUGGUGGCAAAAGAUCACCACAUCGUCCGCGAAGAGCGAGAUGCUGGACACGGCGUGCCUCGUAGUGAGCCGGCGAAAGGCCCCGACGUGAACCGCGUACUGGGGCAGAGAGUUCAGGGAAUCGAUAGCGAUGGCAAACAUCAUAGGGGAGAUCGGGUCACCCUGCCGGAGACCACAGGCGUGGUCGAUCGGCGGCCCGAGGGUGCUAUUGAUCACGACGCAGGUGGACGCUGAGAGGAGGAGGAUGGAGAUCCAGCCGCACCUGCAGGUGGACGCUGAGCGCAGGGUCUCAAGCAGGAAUGGCCAGGAGACUGAGUCGAAGGCGCGAGCAAUGUCGAGCUUAAGCAGCACUCUGGGGAGCUUUAGGUUGUGAAGAAGCUUCGCCGCUUGCUGGACUAAGAUGAAAUUAUCAUGUACGCUCCGACCAGCGAUGAGAGCGCUCUGGUUGGAGGAGACGAUCUCGGCCAAUUUGCGGGAUGAGCUGUAGGGAGAGGACCUUGGCAAAGAGCUUGGCCAGCAGGUGGAUCAAACUAAUAGGCCGGUAGUCGAACAAGGUGGUGGCAUCUUGCUUCUUGGGGAUCAGGGUAAGGAGAGCUUCAUUGAGCUUAUGGAAUCCACGGCCAUUGUUGAGGUAGAGCUUGUCAAAGACUACACAUAUGUCUUCCUUGAUGGUGCCCCAGCGGGCGGGAAGGAAUUCGGCAGUGAAGCUGUCGGGGCCGGGUGCCUUGCCCGUGGGGAGUUGCUUGAUGGCCGACCAAAUUUCGUCCUCGGUGAACGGCUGUUCAAGCUCCAAGAGAUCAAAGCAGCGGUGAUGGAAGACCCCAAGGUUGAGGGACCUGACGCGCGGCUCGGACGAACCAAGAAUGGCAGUGAAGUGGUCGAACGCGGCUUGAGCCAGAUCGGUCUCGCCGGAGAUGGUAGCUGGGCCAGAAUGCAGUUCCUGGUAGUGCGGUGCGCCGCAUGGAUCUUGAAGAGGGCCGCCGCGGUGUCACCCUCCUGCAGCUAGUGGAAGCGGAUGCGUUGACGGGCGAUGGACCGGUCAAGAGAAGCCAGUCCAAGAUAGGCGCGCUUGAGCUCACGACGCAACCAAGACUCGGCGAGGACAGAGCGCGAGAAUCUUGGGCGGAGUCCAGACGUAGAAUAAGCUCGCGGGCGAGGAGGAGCUGAGUGGCGAUGGCGUUGGUGGAGCACGUGCCCCAGCCCCGUAGGCGCCGCGCGGUGGCCUUCAGGCGCGCAAAGAUGCGUCGGAGGGGGUCCGGAUCAGGCUCGACAGAAGCCCACGCGUCUGCCAGAGUCUCCUAAAAACCAUCGAGCUUGGGCCAAAAACGCUCAGAGUGGAACCGCCUCUUUGCGCCCGGUAGAGGGGAUCAGUCCAGGAGCAGUGAGCGUGAUUGGAGGUAGCCGUGGACAGGCAACGGAGCAAGUGCUAGGGGUGGUCAGUCGCCCAGGAGGGGGUACCGAGGAUACGGUCAUUGCGGAUGAGAGUGGGGUUGUCCUGCUCAUUCGACCAAGUGUAGCGACGACCGUGGAGAUAGAUGUCGCGCGGGGUAAAGUCAGCGAUGAAUCGUCGAAAUCGAUUCAUGGUGCGCUGGAUGAGCCUAUUUUUGUCCGUUGCGGAAGUGAUCAUGUUGAAAUCCCCACCCACACGAUCCACGGGCCGACGAUGGUAGCGCGAAGGUCAUGCAGCUCCGCAAGGAAUGCUAGCUUCUGAUCGUCCCCUUGCGGCCCGUAAACGCCCGUGAUCCACCAGUGCGCGCCACCGAAGAGCGUGGUGACCGCAGCGGAGACGUGGUGGUCACCAACAUGGGGAUUAGUAAGGGCAAUGGGGUUGCGGCUCCAAGCAGGAAGGAUGCCGCCCUGGGUACCGUCUGCGGCGAGCCAGAAGAAAUCCAGGAACAAGCUACCAAGCGUUUCUAUGACAAGGUCCGAUGAGAUCACAGCGAGCUAGCUUGGUUUCUUGGAGACAUACAAUGGAGGAAGUAGCGGCGGCUAUCAUGCUACGAACGGCAGUACGCUUGGCCGUCGAGUUGAGACCGCGUACGUUCCAGAAUAUCACUUAGGCUGGGAACAACAGGAGUUAUGAUCUACCGAUUAGUAGUUAUGUAGGAAUCAGCUCCAACGUUUAGAAACAACCUUGUGCAAAAGAAAGAAAGCACUGACCUGUUUCUUCUGGCUAUUCUCGCCUAUAAGCCUGGUGUAUUGCCAUAAUUGUGACCCGGCCAGGCGGCCAAUUACCAUCUUAAAUUGGUACAUCGGCCAAAGUUUGACAAAUGUAGUGCACAAGUUGCUUAGGACAAGUAUCAAACGAGUUAGGAAUAAUAAAUCCUGAAAAAUCUAGAACGGGCCAUCCUAUGCAUCACAUCGGGCUGUGCCACUGGGCAGAAGCAACAGCGUUUGGAUACAUGGAUAGUGAGGCCGGGAAUAUGGAGAGUUGGAGACAGAUCGAGGUGUGAGGAUGUGUGGGUUAAUUAUAGAUAAUCCACUCGAAUGAUUGGUUUGUGAUGGAAGGAAUAGGUAGUAUCAAAAUUUAAGAUCAAAAUAUCCUCACUCAUUCAAGAAAGGAAAAGAUCCAGCAAGUGGGUAUCCAGGGCAUUUUGAUAAUUUUGGUUAGCCAUGCCCAUUUCCAUCAGAAGUUCAGAACUAGCCUCCCCCUUGGGUUGAAAACGCAGGUUCAUAUCUGAUAUCUGAUAUCCCUAUCCUUCUCCUCCUUCUCCAAUUCCCUCCAUCCAAAUAUAGGAAUAUGAUUAGAUUUAACUCGUGCAAGCAGUUGUGAUUCCAAGCCUUCAUAUCCCGAAAUCCAAACGAACUCUAAAGGAAUAGCAACAAAACGGUUGACAGCAUCAAAGCAGAGAAUCACGUCUCGGGAACCCCUUUCCAGUUCUUCUUGCUCUCCCAGAUAUAUCAAUAGUUUGUCGGAGUCUACUGCUGUUUAUAUCGAGUGAUCGAUGUGGCUUUCUAAGGCAAUCAAAUUGACUAUGUAUACACUGACACACACACACACACACACACACACACACACACACACACACACACACACACACACACAUAUAUAUAUGACAAAUAAGCAUACAGAGAGACCUUGCAUUGCAGCGCCACAGAGAGGCGAGUGUAGUUUGCCAGCUAGUGGAUCAGCACCAUGAUCAAGAAGAUAUCUUGCAGCAUCAGCUCUCCCAUAAGUGGCAGAAAGGAACAGUGGCGUGUCACCUGCAACAGCCAGAAAAAUAAACAUCAGGAGCUCAACAAAAUUCACGCCAAUCCUGCCCUCAAUACAAAAAACUGUACACAAAUUAAAGAGCCAAACGUGGAAAGAGGACUUCACUGGUGAAACUGUGAAAGGCUUUCCAUCUGACAAAUGUUUAGUGCUGACAAAAUUGCACAACGACAGACAGAGGAGACACUUCAUACAGCGAUUUGCCUAUAUAUAGCAUACCCAAAGAAAUUUGAUGUUAAGGAUAAAAAAAAAUUAUGUUUUUUUAGGGGGAAAAUCGAUGUUUCUGGUAUGGUGCAUGGACUUUCUGAGCAUGGAUGUCUAUAUAUUGGAUAUUUCAACUCCCCUUGUCACUUCAUCACAAUUUACAAAUGCAUACAACAUAUAAGACCAAAUUCGAAGCCCCAAAUGCAUACUUCACAUGGUAUAAUAGUAACUAGUAAGCAGUAGCAAUCAACAUAAAUAAAUAAAUUUUAAAAGUGAUAAAGGAGCUACAAAUUGACGCGAAGGGAAGCAAGGAAGGGGGCGUCACCUAUGAAGUUGAGUUGAUUGACAUCGAGGCGAAGGUCCUCGACGAGGUACCUGCAGACCUCAACCCGCCCCUCCCUGGCCGCCAGGUGGAGAGCGCGGUCCCCUUCGCCAUCCUCCACAGCCGCCAGGACUGCGGCCUCGCCAUGGCCCCCUGAGCCCAUCCACCGCGCCAUCUCUUCGCAAUGCGAGAAGUGGGAGCCAAGUCAGACACUAAUCCGUCAAGCUACUACCAUCGUCAAACCCUAAGAAGAAAGAGCAUGAGGAGGAGGAGGCGGGGUUACUCUUGAGGAGUCGGAGGUUGCCGUCGGAGGCGGCGCGGAGGAGCGCCUCCUCCCGCUGCUGCUUCCCCAUCGCCUCCAUCUCCAUGGCGAUUGAGAAGUCGGGCGGGUUGUUCCCUUGCCGAUACGUGGGAGAGAGAGCGGCACGCGCUGCGGGGUAGUAUUAGUGUGGACAGUCUGGAGAAGACGAGGAGACCAUUUGAUGCUCACUCCGUCAAUUUUUCUUCUUCUUUUUUAUAUAUACCUAUCCUAUAUUUUUUUAAGAGAACUUCCAAUCUGCUCAGAAAUAAAAAAUAUCCAGAUCCAUAGAUCACCAACUGUCAUUGGUAGUACAAAGAACACCAGAAAUAAAAAUUUCAUCCAGGUCCGUAGACCACCUAGCUAAGACUACAUGCACUGGAGCGAGCCGAAGUCACGCCACCGUCAUCGCCCCUCUCUCAUUAGAGUCGGACAAACCUUGUUGUAGUAGACAGUUGGAAAGUCGUCGUGCUAAAAGUGACUCCAACGCAGCGACCCAAUUCGUCCGCGCAGACAAAAAAUACGGCCCAACGCAGAGACCCAUUUCCAUUUUGUGUCCGCUCGGACCCAUUUUCGUCCCAAAUUUGGGUCGGAGGCAGACACAAAGUGGGCGUUUUCUAUGUCCUCUUCGUUCACUGCAUGCGAGAUCUGGCCCACCUGUCACAGACCCACCAGCUCCCACCUCUCGCUCCUCCUCUUUCUCUACCCACCCGACGAUGCCACCAAGCACCCACGCCGACGGCCGGCCUCGUCUCGCCCCUCCCUCCUCCCACCCCCAACGCUGCUGCUGCUGGAGCGGGAGCGCCGCCGCCGCCGGUGCUGCUGAAGAGCGCAUGGCAUUGAGACCAUGUGGAUCCCGUCCACUAUGGUUUGUCGCAAUCGCAUGGCGUCGAGGGCGAGCGUGUGGACGCCGUGCCGGGUGCGUCGUAAUGCGUCCGUCCCCGUUGGGCACACCGGCUGACCCAAACGAAAAGUGGACACGCAUGUCCGCUCGCCGAGCCAAACGGACAAAAGGCGGAAAAAAUCCGGGUCUGUUUGGCUAACCGCGUUGGAGUUGCUCUAAGGCCCCAUAAGACCAGCGCACUAGAACAACAACCGCUGCCGAUGAAGAGAAGUGUAGAUCGGAAGGAUCCAACCUGCAGACACACGGUCGCAGACGAACGAAGACCGAAUCCAAGCGGAUCCACCUUCAUCAAACAUCUACCGGAUCCCACGAGAUCCGCCGGAGAGACACCUCCACAACGCUAGAAACACCACCUGGGGAUAGGCGAGAAAAACCUUAUUUCAUCUUCAGGAAGCCACCGCCAUCUGAUCUUCCUGAGCAUGGCAGAAACCCUAACGAGACUGAAAAAAACACCUAAACACGUAGCCCCCUCUCGCCGACAAGGGCCGGGAUCUAUCAUGUCUCCAUAGUCCUAGAAUCAUAUAGGAGACCAAGCGGACCAGCGGCGGCCGGCGAGAGGCAGAGGAAACCCUAGUCGUGAGCCGCUUGGGUCUUUCUAUUUCUACUCUUUUUAAAUUUUUAUUCUCAAGUUUUAUUUUAUUUUUACUCUUUAUUGAGUUAUGUUUUCUACCUUUUAUGGCUUAAUUUUUUUAGUAGUAUAUACAUGAACAUAUAUUCGUACUAAUAGUAGCAAGAUUUAAAUUUCUAAUUUUUUUAAAACAUACUCCCUCUGUCCAAAAUAAGCGACGUGGUUUUAGUUCAACUCCACGUCGCUUAUUUUGGGACGGAGGGAGCAAAUGAUUAUUUUAGUACUUGAAUCUAUUUUAUGCAUUAAUUUUGAAUACGCGAUGAUCAUUUUAUUUCAUAUAUACUUACAUUUUUAUCUAGUACAUAAACAUUUCCCAAUUGCUCGUAAUAUGCCUCUCUCCUUUUUAAUCUGGUUUCUGAUAACAUCUUUUAAAGUUUGUCAAGCAAAGUAUGGUUUUCAAGAUAAAAAUAAAUAAAGGCUUUCGCGAGUCACACCAUUGAGUGGGCACAUGUAAGAGAGUUGGCGGACUCCUCAAAAGCCCUUGAACUGCAUAAUAACCAUCAAUCUGGAGGCAAAAGGCCAAAAAACCACUAUAAGAGAGUCGUCCUAGCUGUUAGAAUCGCCAUAUUUCUUGAAAUGCCCUUGAUACCGGCAUCCCCUAGCGACUCGCGGCAAGCAAACCUAACCGUCACCAAUCUUUUUCGUCCCUCUUGCCGCCAACAAAGGGCGUUAGAGCAUCUCCAGCAGCGCCACCAAUAGCCCCCACCCCCCCCUCCCAAGGCACUUUUUUAUCGUUGGCGCCGAAAAAACGGCCAGUUACGCCCUCAGAAGCCCAAUUUUCGCCGGUUAGGCCCGAAACUGGCGUCGGCGGACCCAGGCCGAACCCGGCGCGCUGGGGCACCCGGGGGCGCCAGGGAAAGCGUUUGUGGCGCGAAAGUCGGGCGGGCCCGCCGAGUCAGCGGUCAGCCGCGUCUCGUCUUCCUCAUCGCCUCAUUUUCCCGCGGGGAAUCAAUGCCAAGGCUGCCGCCGGUCAGCCUUCCAUUGAUUCCUCACGGACGGCGCAGUGAUGGCACGUCGACGCGCCGUCCCCCUCCCGCCACGCGUACACACACGCCUGCCGCGCCUCCCCCUGGCGGCUAUAAAAAGCCGCCCCUCCCUCGCCGGUGGACGCACUCUCCUUCGCCCCCACAGUCCUUCUCUCGUCGCCGGCGCCCCAUCCCGUCUCUCUCUCCCCCGCCACCAGCCUCCGAUGGGUGAGCAUUUCCCCGGCGACGGUGCGGCGGCUAACGCUUCGGCCGUCGCACCCUGCACGAGUGGCAGGCGCACCUCCUCCAGGAGGCCAACUACCCGGCGCCGCCUGACAUGCGCGCGCCGGGGCGGUGGAGGCUCAGCGCCGGAGGCGUCCCUGUCCCGCGGCAGCCCAACGCCGACCACUUCCACGACGAGAUUGAGCGCGUUCGGGCCUCCCUGCCGGAGGAGGUGCGCGGCCAUCCGAAGUACGCCGCCAACAACCACGCCAGCUGGGUGGCGUACUUCCAACGCUGCCACGAGGAGCAGGUCGCCUCCACCAACAACGCGCCGGUGAGGGGGCGCCACAACGCCGAUGGCCGCCGCCUGUGGUGGGGCGUCCCCGGGCGGACGAUGCACUACGUCCUCGAGCACCUCGAGGGCGGCAACCAGCCGCCGCUCCAGUACCCGGCGGCCCCGGCCGAGGCGCACGGGUGGGUAGUCCUCCUUCUCCUCUUCCCUCUCCUCCUCCUCCCUCUCCUCUGGUUCGCCGGCGCUCGCCAGCGUCAAGGCCGAGCCCGUGGAGACGCCACUCGUGGCGCCCUCGUCAUCAACGAGGGCGCCCGUGGUUCCUCUUCCUCUCGCUUCGUCAAGCCGAAGACGGAGCCGGGGCUCAUCACCGUGAAGAGCGAGCACGACGACAUGGCCGCCGCCGAGGCCGCCCUCAAGUGGGCGCGCGAGGACUACGUCAAACUUGAGAUGGAGCGCCAGCGCCGCGCCCUCGAUGAGAUUGCCGCCCGGCGUCGCGGCCGCGACGAGGGCGGUGUCAUUUUCGUCGAGGACAGUGACGACGACGCACCACCGCCGCCAACCAAACCCGUCCGCCAAGGCGACGCAGGGCAGGGGUGCAGCAAGGACAGCGGCGGCGUGAAGAAGGAGGAGGCCGGCGAUGACGGGGACUACAGCGCCUUCGGUGCAUUCUUCGGCCUGUAGGAGGGGCGGCGGACGGCGGCGCUUAGUUUAUGUUUUUAGUUUUUGAAUUAUGUUUUAAGUUUUUAUGUACAAAUAUCAAUGAAAUCACCAUUUUGGCCGAAUAUGUGUCGCGUUGGCCGAAUUUUGGCUGAGUUUGUUUUUCAAAAAAUCGGCGUCUGGGUUGGGCGUGGGUCGGCGGUUGGGAAUCCGACCACCCCCACGCCGAUAUUUUUGCCGACGCGCUCCCAGGCGGCGCUAUUUCAAGCCCCUGGGGGGCCGAACGGCUGGAGAUGCUCUUCCAGCCGCGCCCCCAACAGGCCCCCCAGGCCACUUUUUCGGCGCCGGCGCCAAAAAAAAUGCCCCAGUCGCGCCCCCAGGACGACGAAAAGCGCCGGUUCGGCCCUUUUUUCUCCCGGCGCGCGCAGACCGAACCCGGCGCACUGGGGGGCAAUCGGGGGCUCCAGCGCAAGGGAAAAGCGCGGCUGGCCCACACCCUCAGGUGAAAAGUCAAGAUUUUCUUCCCCGACUCGCCUUCCACCCCCCGCGCCCUCGGCCGCCACUAGCUAUAUCCCGGCGCCGCUCGCCGCCCUUCACCGCUAGAUAGCCAUUCCUCGCCGGAAAAAUAGCAGAGGUUCGCCGCGGUAGCCCCUCCAACAGCAGCUAGGCGUUUCCGGCCGCGGAGGGGCAGUUUAGCGGCGGGUGCACGCCAACCGGGCGCAAGGUGUUCGGCAUUUGCCUGCCUCGGCGAUGGACUCGGAUGACGAGCAAGCGCUCGCCGCGCUGCUGGAGGAGGAAGCCGAGGCCGACGUCCAGGAAGAAGAGCAUCUGAUGGUACUCGCCGCCCUCGCCCAGCUGUUGGCGAGCAAUGAAAAGCCGCGGCGAGGUGGCUCGGCGCCGGGGCGGGUGAAAUCAAAAAACCGGCAUCGUCUCGAAGGCUACUGCAUGCUCUACUCCGACUACUUCGCCGAUGCUCCACUUCACGGCGACAAAACAUUUCGGCGCCGUUAUCAAAUGAGCCGAAAGCUCUUCCUCAGAAUUGUGAAUUCCAUCCGGGAGUUCGACAACUACUUCAAGUGCAAGAUGGAUUGCACCGACAAACUUGGAUUCACCUCGAUCCAGAAGUGCACGACAGCGAUGAGGAUGCUUGCAUACGAAGCUCCCGGUGAUUCACUCGACGACUAUGGGCGCAUGGCCGAGUCCACCAGCAUGGAGUGCUUCUACAAGUUCUGUCGGGCAGUGGUGGCAGUGUUUGGAGCACAAUACUUGAGAACACCCAAUGCGGAAGACACUGUUCGGAUCCUAGCACAAAAUGCAGCAAGAGGAUUUCCUGGGAUGCUUGGAAGCAUCGACUGCAUGCAUUGGAAAUGGAAGAAUUGCCCAUUUGCUUGGCAGGGGAUGUACAAAGGCGCCAAAGGCGGUUGCAGUGUGGUACUUGAGGCGGUGGCCACACAGGACCUCUGGAUUUGGCACUCCUUCUUUGGUAUGCCAGGAACUCACAAUGACAUCAACAUGCUGCAGUGCUCUCCUGUCUUUGCCAAGCUUGUUGAAGGUCAUUCUCCUUCGGUGAACUUCGAAAUCAAUGGGCGGCACUACAACAAGGGGUACUAUCUAGCUGAUGGCAUCUAUCCGAGAUGGUCGACAUUUGUGAAGACAAUCUCAAACCCUGUGCCAGGAGGCAAGAACGCCUGGUUUGCGAAGAUUCAGGAGGCUUGCAAGAAGGAUGUCGAGCGGGCAUUUGGUGUGCUCCAAUCUCGAUUUGCUGUUGUCCGGUACCCCGCUCAGACCUGGUCGAAAGAUCAAAUGUGGGAGAUUAUGACUUGCUGUGUCAUCUUGCACAACAUGAUCAUCGAGAGCGAGCAAGAAGACCCAGUGUUUGACACUGAACCAUACUACAGGCAGGAUCCUCUAGCCGAAGUUGAUCACCAGCUACCGGCAACCUGGACUGCCUAUCUCAGUAUGCGUCAGGAGAUCCGAAACCCACAGGUGCAUCAUCAACUGCAGAAAGAUCUGAUUGAGCACCUAUGGAGGCUCAAGGGGGACGCCGGGCGCGACGUGUGAUGAAAUAUGAGUUUUUAUUUGUUGAACUAUAUAAUUUGUAUUGAACUAUUUGUUGUUGUACUAUUUUGUUGGAAGUAUUUGAUUUUUCUGUGAUGAAAUAUGUUAUAAGAAAAAAUUUACAUUGAUAAUUGAACGCCGAGCCACGGUGAACCACGCCGAAUAUGGGCCUAUUCUCGCCCAUAUGGGCCUUUAAUUCGCCAAAAUGGGGCUGAAAAGUGGGCCAAUUUCGGCGCCUGGGGGCGAGCUGGGGGCAACGACUGGACGCAAAACCGCCCCCAGCGCCGAUUGUGUCGCCGGCUCGCCCCCAGGGGCGAUUUUUAUGCGUCCUGAGAGGGCCAACAGCUGGAGAUGCUCUUAUCCCCACAAAUCCCAUCUCUUGGGGGGAGUGUUUGGCGAAGCUGAAACCUGUUGCACACCAUCGGCCCAUGCUACGUGAGCGGUUUAAUUACAAUGUCCCUCAACUCCACGUCGAAAUACCAACAGCCCCACUUUACGUAAAUUAAUGAAAAAAAGUGCAUUGACUCAGGCUGGUUGCGUCGGGCCGCAGAUACAAAUGGCUCAAAUUUGAUGCAGGCAACCAAACAUGCCCAUAAUAUAUUGCACCAAUAUUUGGUUAUAUGACGGGAUGAAGGGGUUCAUGUUGCCAGCGGUAGUGUCAGACGUGACGAGUAAGGGGCGCACGCGCACCCAUGAUUUCCCACAUGCAUCUAGCUCUAGGGCAAUGGCUCUGAUGGUAGGGUGGGUGCUACAGUGUAGCUCCCGACUCAUGGCCUGCAAGUGCAUACCACAGGAAGCACAUGAAUUAAGCGUUGCCUCUUGUUAUGAAUUAUGGAUUUGUGCCUCCAAGUAAUUGUAGACUCCAGGCAAAACGAGAGCGGAAAUAAAUAGUUGUUUUGGUUCUCAGAGCAUCUCCAGCCGUUGGCCCCUCAGGGGGCUCGUAAAAUCGCUGCCUAGGGGCGAACCGGCGCAAAAAUCGGCAUGGGGCUCUGGCGUUCCCAGGCACCGGCCCCAGAAGGCGUUUUAAUUUUUUUUUGAAAAAGAAUUCGGCUAAAAUUUGGCAAACGGGAUGAAGAUUCGGCUAAAAUUCGGCAAACAUGACAUUUCUUAGGCGACUUUUACAUAGAAAAGUGAAAUACUUAAAACAAAGGCCGCAACUACAAGCCGAAGAACGCGCUGAGUGCGGCGAAGUCGCCGCCAUUGCCAUUGUCCUCGUCGUCCUUCUCCUCCUUCACGCGGUCGCCCGCACUGGACCCUUGCCCGAGGUCGCCCUGGCGGACCGGUGGCGGCGCGUCCUUGUCAUUGUCGUCGUCGAGAACGACGACACCUCCCUCGUCGCGGCCACGGCGCCGAGCGGCGAUGUGCUCUAGGGCGCGGCACUGGAGCUCUAGCUCCGUCCACGCCCAGUCUUCGCGCGCCCACUUCAAGGCCGCCGCGUCAGAGAGCUCCAGCUCCGUCUUCACAGCGGCGAGCCCUGGCUCUGUCUUCACGGAGGCGAGCCCGAGCUCCGUCUUCACGGCGUCGGCGAGCCCUGGCUCUGUCUUCGGCUUGACGAAGCGGGGAGGAGCCGAGGAGGAGGCGCGCCCGCCCUCGUUGAUGACGAUGCCGGCGCUGCGGGUGCACCGGCCGAGCGGCGUCUCCGCGGGCUCGGCCUUGACGCUGAACAGCGCCGGCGACCCGGAGGAGUGUGAGGAGCGGGAGGAGGAAGAGGAAGAGGACGCCGCCCUCCUCGGCAUCCAUUGGCGUGGCGGGGCGGCAGGGUAGGUCAACGGCGGGUCAUUACCGCCCUCGAGGUGCUGGAGGACGGCGUGGAGAGUGCGGCCGGGGGCGCCCCACAACAGGCGGCGGCCCUCGCUAUUCUUCGUCCCCCGCACCACCGGCGCCCCGUUGGUGGAGGCCAGCCGCUGCGCCUACCGGUGCUGGAAGUACGCCGCCCAUGCCUCGUGGUUGCCGGCGGCGUACUGCGGGAGGGCCCGCUGCUCCUGCGUCAGCGACGCCCGCACGCGGUCGACCUCGUCGUCGGCGCGCACGGUGACGUCAGGCAGCGGGGCGAUGGGGACGCCACCGGUGCUGAGCUUCCACCGCCCCGGCGCGCGCAUGUCGGGAGGCGCCGGGAUGUUGGCCUCGAACAGCAAGUGGGCUUCCCACUCGUGCAACGAGCGGCGGCCGAAGCCAUUGUCCGCCGCCCCAUCGCCGGGGAACUGCUCGCCCAUGGGCACGGGGAGAGAGGGGGGAGGAGCGGCGGCGGCGGCUGCGCACGGGGAGAGAGAGGGAGAGGCAGAGCUCAGGCGGCGGUGGGCGGGGUGUGGCCACAGGCAGGGGGAGGCGUUGCUUUAUAGCGGCCUGGGCGCCGUGUGUACGCGUGGAGGGAGGGGGGCGUCGCCGCGCCACCCGUGAGGAAUCAAUGGAAGGCUGACGGCGACAGCCUUAGCAUUGAUUCCCCGCGGGAAACAGAGGCGCUGUGAGGACGACGAGGCGAGUGUCGCUGACUUGAUAGACCCGCAGUUCGUUCGCGUCAAAAUCGCUUGCCCCGGGGCUCCCCAGCGCGCCCGGUUCAGCCUGGGUUCGCCGGCGCCAGUUUCGGCCCAAACCGGCGAAAAACAGGCUCCUAGGGCCGCGACUGGGCCGAUUUUUGGNNNNNNNNNNNNNNNNNNNNNNNNNNNNNNNNNNNNNNNNNNNNNNNNNNNNNNNNNNNNNNNNNNNNNNNNNNNNNNNNNNNNNNNNNNNNNNNNNNNNNNNNNNNNNNNNNNNNNNNNNNNNNNNNNNNNNNNNNNNNNNNNNNNNNNNNNNNNNNNNNNNNNNNNNNNNNNNNNNNNNNNNNNNNNNNNNNNNNNNNNNNNNNNNNNNNNNNNNNNNNNNNNNNNNNNNNNNNNNNNNNNNNNNNNNNNNNNNNNNNNNNNNNNNNNNNNNNNNNNNNNNNNNNNNNNNNNNNNNNNNNNNNNNNNNNNNNNNNNNNNNNNNNNNNNNNNNNNNNNNNNNNNNNNNNNNNNNNNNNNNNNNNNNNNNNNNNNNNNNNNNUGUUGGCGGUUGGAGAUGCUCUCAGUCCAGGCUCCCUCGCUACUCAGGGACCCGACAAUGCCAUACGACCACCACGCCCUUCAUGCCAUUGCAACCACCAAGGGCCAAUCCCAAUCCGCACCGGACCAGACCAGCCUCAGAAUGUGGCUGCCAGUCACAAUGCCAAGUUCAACGAGAAACCUCAGUACUGAAUUCCAUGAUCCAACAACCAAAGAUAUAACAAGCUUAACGUUCUGUGACGAUAAAGUUUGUCGACACUUGAACUGGAAUCAACAUACUACGGUUAGCGAGUGCAUCCAGUUUACAAACGAUGGGUACCACGAAAGUCUUAAAAAACCACAGGAUGUUCUUGCUAGAAGUUUUCAGACUAGACAAAAGACGCUAGCUAGCAGCAAAACAAAGCCGCAGAUUGUGCAUUGUAGGACAGGAGCGUCAGUUACUUUCCAGGGCAACGAGCAUUCUUCGCUGCCUCUUGGGCUUCCCUGCGACCAAAAUAUUUUGAACAUGAGCAUUGUCAGAAAUCUGUGUACAACUCCUUACCCUGAAUAUCAAUCAACCCUAGUAACACACGGGUCAACACUAGGUGCUCUUUCCACGAUCAGUAAAUCGCUCCGACUCAGAAAAGAACUCAACAGACUUGAAUCCAUGCAAUGUAAUAUUCUCUAGAGAUGGAGACCAUCUUUCAUGCACACAAUUGUCUAUAAGAUAUCAUUUAUCCUUUCACUUAACUUAUGAAAACAUGGACCAGUUACCUUAAAGCAUUUGCAAGAUCACCGUUUGUAGGGUCAAGCUUCAAGCCAUCGGCAAAAGCCUUGCAUGCUUUCUCAUAAUUCUACAAGUACGAAACAGAGGAUGAUCAGCUCUAUGAUCAUGAUACGAAUGCUUGAAGAAAGCUACCAUCUUCUUUUUACCUUCAAUAACAUAAAAGCUGCCCCUUCUCGAUAGCAGGCUUUUGGCCAAAGAGGCCGGAGCAUUCUGCACCUGCUAGCAUCAGCGAGAGCCGUUCUUCCGUUCAUAGCGCGCAAUGAGCAGAGACUCCUAUUUGCCAAGAUGGUUGCAAAAUCAUCUGGACUAGGGUCAAAUGCCAUUGCCUACAAUACAUCAAUCAUAUGCAUCUUUUAGAAACACCUAAAACAGAGUGCUCCAAGAACUUUUGUACAACAGUAUUGUGUUACCUCAACCGUAUACAAACUGCUCAACUACCUCCUAAUUACUAAGAGAGCAGGAUGGCUGGCCUAGAUUGUGCAUGCCUUGUACUCCCUCCAUCCAUAUAUAUAGGGCCUAAUAUGUAUUCCGAUAUUUACUUUGACCAUCAAGAAGAUCAAUAAUUCAUGAGAUGUAUGCUAUAAAAUUGUACAAUUGAAAACUCCUUUCAAAUACGAACUCGAAGGUAUACUUUUUAUAACAUACUCCCUCCGUCUCAUAAUAUAAGAUCGUUUUACAAGCUAAAAACAGCUUGCAAAACGAUCUUAUAUUAUGGGACGGAGGGAGUAUAAUAUAUAUGUGGAUAGAGGGGGUACUGUAGAAUGGAGUAUCUAACAACACAUGUUUUACCAGAAUAUGAAACCUAUUUUUCGUGUGAACAAAACUAUAGUGUGGACUGAGAUUAGCAGUUUACAAAUAUAGAAAACACCUGUCGCUCCUUCAAGCAAUAAAAAUGUGCCCUAGUGACUUACACUACUAUACAGCAGUGCUGCUAUAUAAUACUGCCCACUCUUAAAAGCCUCUGAAGCUUUCUGUUUCAGUUCAGUUAAUUUCUUUGCACGCUUUUGCUUAUCCUGAUCACAAAAAAAAAAAUUGCAGUUAGAACAAAUAUGUAGAACUAGCCUGUAAUGUAAAACAUAAAACGUACAAAUUUGUAAGUCUCAGCCUAUAUCGCCUAAUUAGUGUAUAAAACUACAAAAAUUGUUGUACUGCAGUGUUGCAGGGUGUAUCAUAAGUGCGUACUAAAACCUUGUUGUCUGAAGCUGCAGGGAUUGGCAGAAUAUCAAUGAAGACAACUUGUUAAGUCUAGCUAGCACAUUAAUGUUCAUCAUACAGUCAAUACCCAACGAUAGAAGUUCGCUCAUAGUGAUGUAAUGCACCAAAGUAAAAUUUGCAUUGAUUUUUUUGUUUUGCGGGUAAAAAUUGUAUUACUCAUCAACAGUGUCCUUACAAUCAAUCGCAGCCAGCUCCAAAACAUCGGGAAGGCCAGAACCUAACCAUGUCAUGGUUCUAAAAUUUGCAUGGAAUGUUUUGCUUGCACAAUGGAGUUUACAACAAUCAUGAAUUAAAACUAAUUCUACUCCAAAUGAUAGGCAGAACUGCCAAACAAGAGAGCUACAGGGUGAUGAUAAAUAACAUACGGGCAAGCGAGCAUAGAACUAAACACAUACCAUCGGUUUCAAACCAAAGUGUUUCACAUGAGAAAUGAUUCCAUCAAUACUCCACUCCGGCAGUGUUGAAAUAGGAGAGGUUAAAGGGAAUAACAUUUCAACCAUGUCCCUACGGCCUUUAGAGGCAGCAAGUUCAAUUGGUGUCGUACCACACUGCAAGAAUAAAUACCAAACAUAAAUACAAAAGUAGUUGGAAGAUUUCCAUCAUUAAUAAUUAGGAAUCACAGCCUAACAUCUCAACCAAAUGGCUGGAUGGACUUCAAGAGAAUCACUAUGCAAGGGCAAAUGAUGGAACAGCCUCGUUCAUCCUUCCUAAUGAAAUUUGUAAGGCAAAGGUUACGUUAAGUACAGUAACAUUAAUAACCGAAAGCUUCAACUAAUAUGUUGUAUUGCAUAAACUUUUCAAAACAGAAUAGGAAGAAGAUGAUACGGACACCAAAAUAUACAUGGAAAGGGCAGAAGGAAUCUUUGAAGAUGUUGCAUUUUAUGUUUCUUUAGACCAGGCUAUGAAGAAGCUGGAGUUUUUUUUCAAUUCAUAAUUUGCUAGACAAGAAACAUUUACAUGACAUACCCUGCAAUUUACAAUGUUUCAAAAUCAUUUUUACAACUGUAAACAUGCAGUUUCGUCGUCCAUCCUCCUGGCUGCACAGUCAAAGUUCAGGUGCAUGAAGGGGUCCUUGAUGGGACACAUGGUACGAUCCUCUUAUAAGCAUCUGAUGCAUUGAUAGUAUCCCACACCAAAUCACCUAGGUACGGGGACAUUGGCGCCAGGAGAAACCUCUAGGUAGUGAUGGAUUUCAAUCCUGAAUACCCCCAAGUUUUCAGGUUUGCGAUACACACGCACAAAAGCACACUAGCAUAUAAGGGAGGACCGAGGUUAGUAGGACAGGCAAGAACACACGCACAAAAGCACACUAGCAUCCAUCGUUUGAAGAGCACCAAGUAGUAGGAAGGGAGAAGGUUAGAGAUGGGUGCUCGGGCACUCUAGGUAGAUCCCGACCACCACUGGUUGCACCCCAACCACCAUCAUUGUAACACAGAAGCACUUANNNNNNNNNNNNNNNNNNNNNNNNNNNNNNNNNNNNNNNNNNNNNNNNNNNNNNNNNNNNNNNNNNNNNNNNNNNNNNNNNNNNNNNNNNNNNNNNNNNNNNNNNNNNNNNNNNNNNNNNNNNNNNNNNNNNNNNNNNNNNNNNNNNNNNNNNNNNNNNNNNNNNNNNNNNNNNNNNNNNNNNNNNNNNNNNNNNNNNNNNNNNNNNNNNNNNNNNNNNNNNNNNNNNNNNNNNNNNNNNNNNNNNNNNNNNNNNNNNNNNNNNNNNNNNNNNNNNNNNNNNNNNNNNNNNNNNNNNNNNNNNNNNNNNNNNNNNNNNNNNNNNNNNNNNNNNNNNNNNNNNNNNNNNNNNNNNNNNNNNNNNNNNNNNNNNNNNNNNNNNNNNNNNNNNNNNNNNNAACAGGAAGUAAUAUUACGCUCAGAUAGCGUCCCGAACAUGUAUAAAUCCCCUGUGUUUGUGUGAGAUCCUUUGCUCGUGGAUUGACAAAGUGUUUUAGCCCCUGGCCAAACUCAAAAAUACGGGGUUUCACUGAUCCCCGGUGUCCUAAGUACACACUCCGACAUCUGGCGCGUCAGGUAGGGGGCUAAGGCUCUAAUUUCCCCACGCGAAGGUAAGGUCUAAGCUAUGGACAAGAAGGAUCCGGGAGAUUCUCCCCAAAUGCUGGCACUAGGGAGAGCCAAAAGGAAAGUAUGGUGUGAGGCACCUCGUGAAUCUCAGCUCCUAAAAAGAAGGCAUCGAAGGCAUCGUCAGAGACCACUAGUCUCAGGGACGAUGGGACGUGAAGAGGGAGAUGCAGCAUCCAUAGAUCCACUGAGAAGUAGUUGGGUUCUGAUUGUGGCCAAAAGCUCUAGGGAAUACCAUAAUAUCUAUCAUGCUGGUCUGAGUGAAAUUAUUCAGAUGGAUUUUUGGUGAUCUGCUUUUACAUGCAUGGAGGUGAAUCCACGGUAUCAAGCCUGACUAAGUGAGAUCGAUUGAAGAGAUUGAGGAAUAUUGCCAUAAGUUUCCUAUCUCCAAUUAAUUGAGAUGCUAUGGUAUAAUAAUCGGAAACUUUGCUCUACCAUGAGUUCUCUAUUUUUACAUCUUUUUGCUUCUGUAUUUACAGUACCUGUAAUACUUAAACCAAGAUGCAAGAAGGUUUCCUCACAGAAUCUCUACUCUCUACUACCUAAAAAGAACGUAAGGUUCCCGUUUCACCUUUUCUUUCCACCGCCCCUUUGUCCAACCUUCCAUGUAUGAUAAUCAAUCACCUUAAUCUACUUACCUUCUGAACCAAUUUCAUUUUAAUUUACUUACCAAACUUCUGAUCAAAAUAUAAGGUAAAUCACGGGCAGAAUUUGAUGAACGUUUAUUUACACAAUUGCAUAUUAUAGGCAGGUAAAUCACAAGCUCACAUAAUAGAAUAUUUAUAUCCCGUUGCAACACACGGGCAUUGUUCUUAGUGAAUUCCCCUGACCAAUGUGUCUUCAGGAAUUAACCAGAGUGGAUUUCAGAUGUAUAAAUACACCUGACCAUUUAUAAUCCCACAUACAUUUGACUCAUGCCUUUUUCUUCUUCGCAUGUUAACUGAAAAAUAGAUUUCAGUUAUGCACAGAAGCAGCAUCGUCUAUUCUCUUCUUGCUGCAUACAACCUGACCAUUUAUAAUCCCACAUACAUUUGACUCAUGCCUUUUUCUUCUUCGCAUGUUAUCUGAAAAAUAGAUUUCAGUUAUGCAUAGAAGCAGCAUCGUCUAUUCUCUUCUUGCUGCAUUGCACACCGCACAUAUCAGCACAAAUGUCUUUAACAAGUGGCGAGACUCGUUAGCUAUCCUAAAACCAACAAUCAACAAAUGUCUUUAAGCCUUGACAAUUUGGAAGUCCAAGAUUCCACUAAAAGUUAAAAUCUUCAUCUGAUAUCUUCGAAGAGGAGUUAUGCCAACCAAAGACAACCUCAGCCGUCACAAUUGGCAAGGAAGCAAGAAGUGUAGCUUUUGUACUCAAGAAAAGACAAUCAAACACCUCUUUUUCUAGUGAAAGUGAAAGUCAGCACGUUCUACGUGGUCAAUCAUCCAAAUAGCGUCCAAUUUGUAUCCGCCCACAAGUGCUGCCAAUAUUUUUGGUCAUUGGUUGGGCGGUACUCCAAAUAGGUAUAGAACGCUAAUAGGUUUGGGCGCGUACAACUUUUUAUGGUCGCUUUGGCUGUGUAGAAAUGAUUUAUUGUCCUUUACAGGUUAGUUUCUGUUGUACGCACUUGCUUUGUACGUGGUCUACGUUGCGCUGCACCGAACAGAGUACCAACUGCUGUUCAAGGUGGUGUGUAUGCGGUUGUCUUGCCAUCCGUCUCUGCCUCUGUAGAAGGUCCCCUGCGCUCUCGGCCUGCAUCAAAGGACACCGUGUUGUAGCCAAGCAGAGUUGCUCAUCCCCGAGCACGCAUGACCUGACCCAACCACUAUGGGAAACAACUAAUUUGCCGUCAGGGAAGUACAGACGGCACAGGUUGCCGAGGAGAGGAUGACAAGCACGGCGACCUCAUCUCGCAAAGCAACACCCCAUACAUCGCCACCGCCUCCGACAAAGAUCAAAUGUCACCGCAAGCAGCCGAACAGGAGCAUCACUGUAGAUAUCCCAGCGGCCCACCCCCAACGCCGAAGCCCCAUCCAUCAACUCCACAAUCCCAAAGUGGCGCCUUCAAGAAGAAAAAUGGCGUUGAAGCGUCGUCGCCACCCAAUCAAGAGAUUUUGGCUUUCACCCGAGACAUGGAGGUGGAGGGCAGGAGCAGGAUCUUGAUGGCACCUACAAGAAGGGGAACAACGCCCAAAGUGUCGCCAGUAUUGUGGCCGCCGCCGGCAGCCAAGGGAUUCCCCCCAUCCUGAGCCCCCAGCCUCACCAGCCCUAAUCAAUUACCAGAUCCGACCAACCAGAGGUUCACCGCAUCACGGAUCGGCGGGGCAGGAUGAGGAGCGAGGGAGGGGACCACCACUCCUUAUUGGCUCCAAGAACCAACGGGGAAGCCCUGGGAGCAAGAUCCACACCCGCCGGUGACCCGCUGGCCAUGCGGCCCAGGGUGACGCACCUCAGCAUCCGCGCCAGCCACCCGCUGCCGUGUAGGAGGUGUGCUCCUCGACAGGGCCAACGCCCCAGAUACAGGCACUCCAUGCGCAAACCACCACCUCCACGCAGCCCUUCACACCGUUGACAUCGCCCGCCACCGCCCAAUACCACCGGCCCACGCCGACCUCCAUCGAGCAGGGAAGAGAGGCCCGCCACCGACGACUUUUCGAGAUUCAGUUUGACCAUGAAUUUAACCAAUAAAAUGUGGGUUAUUUGUCACAAAAAGUAUACUGUUAAAUUUGUAUCCCAAAGAAUUUGCCAGUGGUGUAAUUUUUAAAGUCACAUGACUUAUGUAUACUUGGUAUAAUUGAUGGUCAAAGUUAAAUCUCGAAGUGUGUGUGCCCUUUUUUUGUAGCCGGAGGGAGCAGUGUUUUCUCCUCAUGCAAGUCUAUUCCUGGCCUCAGAAGUGCGGUUAAGAUUACCCUAAUCUGUCAAGAGUCUACAGCGUAACAUGACCUCAUUGAGAAACGGGGGAACAAUGUUCAGCUAACUAACAGCAUAUGCAUGAAAAGUAGAUUCUGACAAGUGACAACAGCAAAACAGGAAACAAAUAAAACUCACUUCAUCUGGAAUAUUGGGGUUAGCACCAGCAUCUAGUAAGCACUUCAAGAUGCCAGUGCCAGGUAUGUCAUACUUCACUGCCAACAUGACGUAACUAUCCCAGUGAAGUCAAUAAAAUUCACAUCAGCACCAGCCUGUGUAAAUGAAUAGUUAUUUGAUCAUUUAUUUGAGUUAAUGCUUGAUAUGUCAGCCACAGAGAACAUGUACACAAAGAAAAUGAAGCUGUGCCUACAGAGUAAACUUUAAGAAAGCUCCAUAUGAAGAAAGAGUACUGACCUCAAUGAGUAGCUUGACAGAUUCCAAUGACACUGUAGGCAUGGGCCGGAGAGCCCAACUCAAUGGGGUAUAACCAAUAGCGAAAACCUUGUUAGGCUGUGAAAAGUGGAAGAAUCAACCGCUUACACUUGUCAACAAAAAGAGGGACCAAUAGAGAAUUUCUUUUGAGAUAUAUGCUAAUAGAGAAAUAAAUCAGCUCGUGGUGUUUAAAAACAUUAGUAUUUCUGAAGGAAACAGAAAGAAAUAUAUUUAUACAGAAAAUAGACAUAACAUUUACUUGGCUUCUGGGAAAGUGAGCACGUUUCACUUUAGGAUAACUAAUUACUGUCCAUGUUGAAAUUUUUGUUGCUUCAUAUACGACACAAACCUUUUUUCAGAUGGAACGCAAGUAUCAAAGGCAACAAGAUCCCAUUCCAGAGUUUUCUUUUGCACUGCAAAGGAGAGAAUCAACAAACAAUGUCUUACAUCGGCAUGGUGCUCCAAUAAAAUCUUCAUUGUGCCAUCUUGUCUAUAAAGAAGAGCUGCAUGCAAUGGUGUCCCUUGUACAGAAUCUAUAUCCACAUCGGCUCCUCUUGAAAGCAGCAUUUCUAACAUUUCACAAUGCCCUGGAAAAUGAAGUUCCAAAAAAAUGAAUGAGGCAAGAAUAUUUUCCAGCAUAUAGCUGACUUUAACCUUUUUCGUUACCACAUAUCCAAUCCAGGACCAGGUUUUGAAAUGCGGUCGUAUUGGGACUAUUUAAACUUCCAUUACUUGUGUAUCUAAACCUUAGAAAUAGAAAAAGGCAUCAAUAUUGAGCUUCUACGAUUAUAAUCAACACCUUGGAUAACAUUGGAUAUCCAACUUGAAAAUCCCAAACCUAAGUUAUUCUACACACGCUCGAUAAUGUUUCUUCGGCCAUCAUCCAAAUCAUAUAUAUGGGAGCUUUGUUCGAUGGAGAUCACAUUAAAACAUAUGGCAAGAUAUGCUAAAACAAUAUCAAGCAUCACACUUGCCAAGAGAGGUGUCAUGGUAGUAAACUUCCAUGAUCCUAAGAGUGAGGGUUGUAGUUCUGCACGCUGAGUUUGAAACAUUUGGUGAUAAAUUGCAGGAUGAGAGUGUUAGGAAGUAUUAGUAUUGGUCCAAGAGUCGUUUACUUUCCUUGCACCUCAAGUCUUGUGUAAUAUAUAUAUGCCCCUUGGGCCUUCAAUUGAGAUAAGUUGCUUUCCUAACAUGGUAUUAGAGCCUAGGUUUAGGUCUCCCCCGGACGCCGCAACUCGUCCUCUCUCCCGAUCGUAUUUUUUCCCGGUCUGUCAUGAUCCGCACGUCCCUGUGCUUUGUGCUUGUUUCGUGACUUCUCAUCGAUCUCCCACGAAAGAUUUCCUUUGCUUUCGCUCCAACCAGGCGAUGGCCGUCUCCUUCGACCCCGGCGGAAUUCAGGCCAGCCGUCCCCUGCGUCAACUUGGGCCCAUUGUGUCGAUGGGCCGCUGGGCCUCUACAUGGUCGCUGCUGGGCAGACACGCGUCGCCUCUGGUUUGGGAUACUCAACGGCCGCUCCCGCGACUCCAGAUCGGCGCCUCCACCCAGGCGUCAUGCUGCUCCUCCCGUCCAUUAGCGCCAAUGCGGGCAGCCCGCCUCUGCUCUUUUCGGCGCGCCACCAAGUGCCGUGGUCUUCUUCCACGGCUGUUCUCCUCCCGCAAUGCACCCGUGUAUGGCUCUGCUUCUUGCUUGGACCUGCUGCUGCUGCUACUACUCAGCCUUCUAGCUUAGCCUGCAACUUGGUCUCGCGCCUAGAUCUCUUUGGAGUUGGAGUCGCUGCUAGUGUGGUUCUUGCCUACUACUGCCGCUGCUGUCCCAAGUUUCCAAGGCCGAGGCUGUCCGCUGCUCUCCGUGCUACUCUCCUGGUUUGACCCAGCUUGUUUCUUUACUGAAAAAAAGAGGCAUGUUGUUCUUGUAGGGUAUGCAUCUCCCUCGCUGCCCGCUGAUUCUCGACGGUGUUUCCUAUAUUGGUUCCGUCUCGCACAUGCGCCGGCUCUGUGCUUGAUGCUCGUCGACCUGUGACGUCAUCUCUUCCGGCGUCUUUUGCAUUUUGCAGGCUGUGUUGAUUGCAUCUACCCUACUACGCGUUUUCUACUUUUCUUUGUUUUCCACUGCGUCCACCAAAUCCAUUGACAUUUUGUGUUUCUUAUGCCAUGUGAGUCCACCAAACUUUUGUCCGUCGGCCUUUUUCUGGUCAUUGUCCUCUCAACAGGAUAUUUGUGGCCUCUCUUUGCAUUGUUAAUCUAAGCCCAUUCUCUUGCCGCUGAGCUUCUUUCACCAUCGAAUUUCAUGGGCCAUGAUUCUUGAAGCAAUGCUUCAUUCUCUUGAUGUGCCAUCUUCCUCUGACUACCCAUCUUCUCUUGAUACUUCUUUUGCAUCUUCAAGUGAUGCGGUGUCUUCCUCUGAUGUGCCAUUUCUUCGUUAUGCCCUUUGGCGACUCGACAGGUUUUGAAGACUCUUCAUGGUACGACGACACUCAAGACGUGGAUUUGGAUUAUCAUUUUUCUUCUUCUAGUGUUACACUUCUUGAAAUGCAAUGCUAUUGCAUAUGUUUUGCAUUUGAGGCGCGGUGUUAGGAAGUAUUAGUAUUGGUCUAAGAGUCCUUAUUAGACUGUUUACUUUCCUUGCACCUCAAGUCUUGUGUAAUAUAUAUAUGCCGUUGGGACUUCAAUAGAGAUAAGUUGCUUUCCUAACAGAGAGGAAUCAUGUACUUCUGCAACUUGCUAUUCAGAGGUGAGAAUUUGUUGCAUUUUUGGGGAGAAAUUCUUGUUGAAGUGUAUAUGUGGAUUGCCUAGCCCUUUCAAUCAGUUUGGACUUUAGGUUGCGUUGGCUAGUGCAUGAAGCUUGACAUUGUACCAGAGCCUAAGGUCUUGAGUUCAAGUCCCGACCUUUGCAAUUUAUCCAAAAAUUGUUGUUGCCCGUUGGGUACUGCAUGAAGCUUGACAUGGUAUCGGAGCCUAAGGUCUCGAGUUCAAGUCCUGACUUUCGCAAUUUAUCCAAAAAUUAUUGUUACCCCCUCUGUGUCCAAGUAUAGGCCUCUUGAACCAUACUUUUGAGUCUAUUCACAUGUUGACUUGACAACUCCGGCAUAAUGGACAACAGGAAUUGUGAUCUACCGAUUAGUAGUUAUGUCCGAAUCAGCUCCAACGUUCGGAAAUAACCUUGCGCAAAAGAAAGAAAGCACUUGUUUCUUCUGGCUACUUGCCUAUAAAGCCUAUUGUAUCGCCAUAAUUGCCACCCGGUUACCAUCUUAAAUUGAUACACUAGUUCAAAGCUUACAAAUAACUCCGCCUACAUUGUCUCAACAUAGCCGUCCCAAGCCCGGGUAAAGGAGGGUUGUGAUAGGCUUGGCGAGCCAACGUAAAGACUCGGCCACUCUUAUGUAGAUGAAACCCAAAAGAUUUUCGUUGGGGCGUAACCCUCUUAGCGAGGCGCCACAUCGAAACCCGGGUGUGGUGUCAAAUGGGCAAGGGUCGGGCUGUCACACCCCCUCCCCGGUGGCACGCCUUAUCUUGAUCUGGAUACGGUGGCAAGUGAGCGAGGAUCGGGUCGUCGCAUCCUUAAUGGCGUGCUACAUCUGCGCCCAGAUGUAGUGAAAAAUGAGCAAGGGUCUUCGCAUUUAUCUCGACGAGUGCAAAGGGAAGGAAGCUAGCCGAGCCUAGGAGGAUCCGCUUAGGUAGCUAGAACGUAGGGUCUCUAACAUGGAAGCUUCAGGAGCUAUUUGAUGCAGCAGUGAGGAGAGGUGUUACUAUCCUUUGCGUCCAAGAAACCAAAUGGAGGGGACAUAAGGCGAAUGAAUUGGAGGAUACCAGCUUCAAGUUGUGGUACACGGGGAUGGCUGCAAACAGAAAUGGCGUAGGCAUCUUUAUCAACAAAAGCCUCAAGUAUGUAGUGGUAGACGUCAAGAGACGUGGGGGUCGGAUUAUCCUAGUCAAGCUGGUAGUUGGGGACUUAGUUCUCAAUGUUAUCAGCGUGUAUGCCCCGCAAGUAGGCCACGAUGAGAACACCAAGAGUGAGUUCUGGGAAGGCCCGGAGGACAUGGUUAGGAGUGUAUUGAUUGGCGAGAAGCUCUUCAUAGGAGGAGACCUCAAUGGCCACGGAGGUACAUCUAACACAGGUUUUGAAGGGGUGCAUGGGGGCUUUGGCUAUGGCAUCAGGAAUCAAGGAGACGAUGUCUUAAGCUUUGCUCUAGCCUACGACAUGAUCGUAGCUAACACCCUCUUUAAAAAGGGAGAAUCACAUCUGGUGACUUUUAGCAGUGGUCAACACUAGCCAGAUUGAUUUCAUCCUCUCGAGAAGAGAAGAUAGGCAUGCGUGCCUAGAUUGUAAGGCGAUACUUGGAGAGAGUGUUGUCCCUCAGCAUAAGCUAGUGGUUGCUGACUUCUGCUUUCGGAUUCGUGUCCAGCGGGAUAAGCGUGCCAAAGUCGCUAGAACGAAGUAGUGGAAGCUCAAGGGGAGGUAGCUCAAGCGUUCAAGGAGAGGGUCAUUAAGGAGGGCCCUUGGGAGGAAGGAGGGGAUGGAGACAAUGGGUGGAUGAAGAUGGUGACUUGCAUUCUUAAGGUGGCCUCAAAGGAGUUUGGAGUGUCCAGAGGAAGGAGAAGCGAAGCUGAGGAUACUUGGUGGUGGAAUGAUGAUGUCCAGAAGGCGAUUAAGGAUAAGAAAGAUUGUUUCAGACGCCUAUACCUAGAUAGGAGUGCAAGCAACAUAGAGAAGUACAAGAUGGCGAAGAAGGUCGCAAAGCGAGCUGUCAAUGAAGCAAGGGGUCAGGCGUAUGAGGACCUUUACCAACGGUUAGGCACGAAGGAAGGCGAAAGGGACAUCUAUAAGAUGGCCAAGAUCUGAGAGAGGAGGACGAGGGAUGUUGGCCAAGUCAAAUGCAUAAAGGACGGAGCAGACCAACUCCUGGUUAAGGACGAGGAGAUUAAGCAUAGAUGGCAGAGUACUUCAACAAGCUGCUCAAUGGGGAGAAUGAGAGUUCUACCAUUGAACUGGACGACUCCUUUGAUGAGACCAGCAGGCGUUUUGUGCGGUGAAUCCAGGAGUCUGAGGUCAAAGAGGCUUUAGAAAGGAUGAAAGGAGGCAAGGCCAUGGGCCCUGAUUGUAUUCCUAUUGAGGUGUGGAAAGGCCCCGGGGACAUAGGGAUUGUAUGGCUAACCAAGCUUUUCAACCUCAUUUUUUGGGCAAACAAGAUUCCAGAAGAAUGGAGGCAGAGUAUAUUGGUACCAAUCUUCAAGGACGAUGGGGAUGUUCAGAGUUGUACUAAUUACCGUGGAAUUAAGCUGAUGAGCCAAACAAUGAAGCUAUGGGAGAGAGUCAUUGAGCACCGCUUAAGAAGAACGACAAGCAUGACCAAAAAUCAGUUUGGUUUCAUGCCUGGGAGGUCGACCAUGGAAGCCAUUUUCUUGGUAUGACAACUUAUGGAGAGAUACAGGGAGCAAAAGAAGAACUUGCAUAUCAAGUUCAUUGACUUGGAGAAGGCUUAUGAUAAGAUACCGUGGAAUGUCAUGUGGUGGGCCUUGAAGAAACACAAAGUCCUAGCAAAGUACAUUAUCCUCAUCAAGGACAUGUAUGAUAAUGUUGUAACAAGUGCUCGAACAAGUGAUGUCGACACUGAUGACUUCUCGAUUAAGAUAGGACUGCAUCAGGGGUCAGCUUUGAGCCCUUAUCUUUCUGCCUUGGUGAUGGAUGAUGUCACAAGGGAUAUACAAGGAGAUAUCCCAUGGUGUAUGCUCUUUGCGGAUGAUGUGGUGCUAGUUGACGAUAGUCGGAUGGGGGUCAAUAGGAAGUUAAUAGGUAUGGAGACAAACCUUGGAAUCGAAAGGUUUUAGGCUUAGUAGAGCUAACACCGAGUACAUGAGGUGUGGUUUCAGUACUACUAGGCGCGAGGAGGUUAGCCUUGAUGGGCAGGUGGUGCCUUAGAAGGACACCUUUCGAUAUCUGGGGUCAAUGCUGUAGAAGGAUGCGGGUAUUGAUAAAGAUAUGAACCAUCGACUCAAAGCCGGAUGGAUGAAGUGGCGCCAAGCUUCUGGCAUUCUCUGUGACAAGAGAGUGCCACAAAAGCUAAAAGGCAAGUUCUAUAGGACGGCGGCUCGACCCGCAAUGUUGUAUGGCGAUGAGCGUUGGCCGACUAAAAGGCGACAUGUUCAACAGUUAGGUGUGGCGGAGAUGCGCAUGUUGAGAUGGAUGUGUGGUCACACGAGGAAGGAUCGAGUCCAGAAUGAUGAUAUACGAGAUAGAGUUGGGGUAGCACCAAUUGAAGAGGAGCUUGUCCAACAUCGUCUGAGAUGGUUUGGGCAUAUUCAGCGCAGGCCUCCAGAAGCCCCAGUGCAUAGCGGACGGCUAAAGCGUGCAUAUAAUGUCAAAAGAGGUCGGGGUAGACCGAAUUUGACAUGGGAGGAGUCCGUAAAGAGAGAUCUGAAGGAUUGGAGUGUCACCAAAGAACUAGCCAUGGACAGGGGUGUGUGGAAGCUUGCUAUCCAUGUGCCAGAACCAUGAAUUGGUCGCGAGAUCUUAUGGGUUUCACCUCUAGCCUACCCCAACUUGUUUGGGACUAAGGCCUGUUUGGUUCUUGUCCUGAAGCAAAUUUGCCUGGCCUGAAUGAUGCCUGAGAUCUGCCUAGAUAUUGUUUGGUUGGUGCCUGGAUAACUCGAAGCUAGCCUGGCCUGGGAAUCGAUAAGCAACAUUAGCCUAUCUUGGAAACUGGAGAACGUCACUAGCCUGGUCCAGGCAAUCGAGAAAGGACGCCUGGGUGCUGCCUGGCAAUGCUAAUCAUGCAUGUGAGUAGGAAAAGGAAAGUAAUAGGCUGAUGUGACAUCCAGAAUUCACCCCCAGGUGUGGUUAGGUGUGGUCACCAGUCAAACAAUGCUUGCUUGGCCAGGCACAAAUCUGCAGCUUCCCAGGCGCUUGCCAAGCUCCCAAAUUUGACAGGCAUGCUGACCAGGAAAGCAACCAAACAACCCCUAAAGGCUUUGUUGUUCAAAGCUUACAAAUGUAGUGCACAAAUUGAGGAGCCUGCUCAGGACAACUACUCCCUCCGUUCCUAAAUAUUUGUCUUUCUAGAUAUUUAAACAAGUGACUAUAUACAGAGCAAAGUGAGUGAAUCUACACUAAAAUAUGUCUAUAUACAUCUGUGUGUGGUAGUCUAUUUGAAAUCUCUACAAAGAAAAAUAUUUAGGAACAGAGGGAGUAUCAAACAUGUAGGAAAAAUAAAUCCCCGGAAAAUCUACAAGGGAUCAUCUUAUGCAUCAAUCGGGCUGUUCACUGGGCAGAAAUGUCGGGAUAUAGGGAUAGUGAGGUAGUGAAUAUAGAGAGAUAUGAGGAUGCGGGUUAUAGGUGGGAUGUAAAAUUUUGAUCCACUCAAUGCAUGGUUUGUGAUGGAAUAGGGAUAGGUAGUAUCAAAAUUUAAGAUAAAAAAAAGAUCUAGCAUGUGGGUAUCAAGGGUAUUUUGAUAAUUUAGGUUAGCCAUGCCGAUUUCCACCUCAUAAUCAAGCCCACCUCCCCCCUCCCCCCUUUGGGUUGAAAACGCAGGUUCAUAUCCCUAUCCUUCGCCUUUUCCAGUUCCCUCCAUCCAAAUACAGAUAAGAUUUAACUCCAGCAAGCAUUUCUGAUUCCAAGCCUCCAUAUCCCUAAAUCCAAAUGAACCCUAAAGGAAUAGCAACAAAGUAGUUGACAACAUCAAAGAAGAGAAUCACGUCUCCCGAAACCUUUUCCAGUUCUUCUUGCUCUUCUAGAUCUAUCAAAUGUUUUUCGGAGUCUAAUGCUGCUUUUAUCCAGUGAUGUGGCUUUCUAAGGCAAAAAACAAAUUGACUAUGUAUAUGCACUGACACAUAUGAUAUAAAAGUAGCAUACUAGCUUGUUGAUAAAGAGAGAGACCAUGCAUUGCAGCGCCAUAAAGAGGUGACCGUAGUUUGCUAGCUAGUGGAUCGGCACCAUGAUCAAGAAGAUAUCUUGCAGCAGCAGCUCUCCCAAAAUAGGCAGAAAGGUACAGUGGCGUGUGACCUGCAACAACCGGAAAAAUUAACAUGAGGAAUUCACACCAAUCCUGCCCUCAACACGAAAAAGGUUCACAUCAACAAGGCAUCGGUCAGUCAUAGACAAAAGAACCAAAUGUGGAAAGAGAAUUUAACUAACCCCUAAUGCAGUAUCAAAUGUCUUUCCAUCUGACACAAUGUUUACUGUAGUUAAAAUUGCACAAGGACACACAGAGGAGACAAUUUAGAUACAGUCCUGCCCAUAUAACAUAUCCGAGUUAAAUCGAUAUCUGUGGUAUGGUGCAUGGAUAUCUUAACUCCACUUAUUUUAUCUACCACCAGUGUUAUUUCAUUCUUUCAGCACUAUUUUAUAUACAUAUAUAUAUAUAUAUAUAUAUAUAUAUAUAUAUAUAUAUAUGACAAAUUUUAUCUACCACCAGUGGUAGUUACCACCACUUGAGUUUUGUAUGUUGUAUGUACUAUCUAUUAAAUCGGAAAGUAUGUACGCGUAGUAUGUAGUAUAUAACGAUGUUUAUGUAGUAUAUGUACUACUCCCUCCGUCCCAUAAUAUAAGAACGUUUUUGACACUAAACGUUCUUAUAUUAUGGGACGGAGGGAGUACUUUUUAGGUAGUAUGCAUCAUAUUUUGGUAUGUUUUUUUACGUACAAAUAUAUACUUAUUUCGCAAAUAUAAUAAAAAUCAUGGGCCAGCUUGCAAUUUUACCAUGUAACUCACUUUGAAAUAUAUUAUAUAUAAUAUAUAAACAUAUUUAUAAUAGUAAUACUAUUCAUCACCCAGGAUGUAGAAUAAGUUAUUCUUCACUCGAGGUAAUCUUACGAUCGCUUCGUAAAUAAAUUACAUUUGGAAUACAAAUAGUUACAUUCAUAUUGAUUCAUUACGUAAAAUUUGGUAUAAGAAAAAAAAGGGUUAUAAGACCAGAAAUAUCACAUUUGUUUUACACUAUGUUUUUACGUUCGUAAUUUUACGUCACAUAAAUAUUUUUUUACGACGAGUAUAUAUUUUCUUACGUUCUCUUUUUACAAAUGAAAUAAUACAAAAUUUACAAAGCCUAAAAAUACGGUGCAUUGACGUCAAAAUAGAGAGGGGUGAAGAAUAACUAUUCCUCACCCAGGGUGAUGAAUAGUGCGACUCUUUAUAAUACUAUAUGGUAGUAUAUGAGACAUGUGCGGUAACUACCCCUAUAUGUGUGUGUGUGUGUGUGUGUGUGUGUGUGUGUGAAAACAGCCCAAAAGCCCUCAAAACAGUCCAAAUUGGGAGCUCCUUCAGCGCCGGUUUCGAGUUGUGGCGCUCGAAGCGUCAUGAUACUGGGCCGGCCCAGGUGGGUUUUCGAUCGAUCACAGCAAAAGACGUCACAAGAAAAAAAACGUGAAGAAAAAGCGCGAAAGCCGGAUUUCAAACUCAGGCUCGCAAGUCUUUUGUGCACUAACUCAAGUACCACUACACCGCACAAGUUCUGUUGUUCUACAACUAGGAAAAGGUGCUACUUAACCAUUCGUUUAGUGAAACAUUUAACCUAAAAAAUCUGAAAAUUAGUUGAAAAGUUCAUUGAUUUUGAAAACAAGUUCAUCGAUUUUGAAAACUAGUUCAUUAAUUUUAUAAAAAGUUCACAAAAAUUAAAAAAAGUUCAUCAGUUUCGAAAAAACGUUCAUCGAAUUAAAAAAAAGUUCAUUGAUUUAAAAAAAGUUCAUUGAAUUUGAAAAAAGUUCAUCAAAUUUGAAAAAAGUUCAUCAAUUUUUAAAACAGUUCGCAAAAAUUUAAAAAAAGUUCAUCGGUUUUGAAAAAUAAGUUCACUGAUUUAAAAUAAGUUCAUUGAAUUUUAAAAAAGUCCAUCAAAUUUGAAAAAAUUUAAUCGAUUUUGAAAAAAGUUCAUCGACUUUGAUAAAAAGUUCGCGCAUUGAAGGAAAGAAAAAAAGAAGGGAAAUGAGAAAAGAAAAGUGAAAAAGGAACAAGAAAAAAAACGCUCAGAAGCUUACCAGCGAACGACCUAGAGAAAGAAUAAAAGGAAAGAAGAAAGACUGUAAGCACAAGUGUGUCGUUGUCCAAGUGGUUAGUGCGUUGCUUGAAGAAAAGGGCGCAGCGGGCACCAUUUAGGAAAUGCCAUCCAAAUUGGCCUAAAAGCACGCGUCCCAUAACAGAUAAACGGGCCUAACUAUAUGUCAUGCUUGAGCCUGGAUAAAGGAAACAAGGAAAACCGAUGAAAAAAGAAGAAAAAAAAGGAAAAGGAAAUCAAAGGAUUUUGGCUUUUGAUCAUGCUUAUGGAGUUGGGAGUUCAGGCAUGAGUAGAGGAUUUUGGGUUUUGAUCAUGCUUAUGGAGUUGAGUUCCUAUUCGCCUCCCCAUACAAGCAUGAGUGGAGUUGCUAGUAUCACAUAGAUAUGACGGUGCAGGGGGUGGGAAAACAACCAUGGUGCCUUACAUGCUUGUAUGGGGAGGCGAAUAGGAACUUGCUGCAUCUCACACGGAACAUGACUAAGUUUCUUAUAAGGCUGAUUUAGACCUUCCAUGUAUGAACAUUGGGGACUUCAAUGAAAUUUUGAGAUGAGAGGAGCAGAUGGGAUCAAAAUGAUCACGAUGCAAGUAAAAUUUAGGCAUUCUGGGAAAUAGUUGACAUAUGUGGGCUAUGUGAUCUCUGCUUCAACGAUCGAGAGAACGAGCCAAUUACAUUUUCCUCGGCAGCCCGACAAAGACAUAAUACGUCCAACACAAGAACCUCUCGGCAAAGUAUGCCCAAUGCCAUAUAAAACCUAAUUUUUUUGGGGCAAACCAGGCUACCGACGAAAUCAAUAACUUGUUCUAGUAUUCCUUCACAGGCUACCCGUGAAACUUCAAUGUCUGCAUUAGCCCCAAACUUCAGUACUGAAUUCCAUGAUUACACCCAAGAUACAACAAGCUUAAUUUUCUGUGAUGAUAAAGUUUGUUAACACUUGAACUGGAAUCGAGAUUACUACAGCUAGCGAGUUCACCUGGUUAUAUUUACAAACGAUGCGUGCGAAGGAAGUCUUGAAAACCACAGGAUAUUCUCGUCAGAAGUUUUAAGGCUAGACAAAAGGUGCUCGGCAACAAAAUAGAGCUUCGGAUUCUGCAUGUAAGACUUGACACGUCAGUCACUUUUCACGGCUACGAGCAUUCUUUGCUGCUUCUUGGGCUUCCCUGCAACCAAAAUAUUAUGAACAUGAGCAUUGUCAGGAAUCUGUGUACAACUUCGCUCUGAAGAUCAAUCAUAACACUAUGCAGAUCGACAGUAGGCGUCUUUCCGCGAUUAGUAAAUCGCUCCAGCUCAAGAAAAUAACUCAACGGACUUGAAUGACUGAAUCCAUGUAAUAUUCUCCAGAUAUGGAGACCAUCUUUUCCAUGGACACAAACAAUGGUCGAUAUCAUGUAUCCUUUCACUUAACUUUUGAAGCAGGCAGGGGGCUGCAGCAUGUAACCCUACACACCACGAAAAUAUGGACCAGUUACCUUAAAGCAUUUGCAAGAUCACCAUUUGUAGGGUCAAGCUUCAAGCCAUCCGCAAAAGCCUCACAUGCUCUCUCGUACCUCUACAAGUACACGCCAUAGGAUGAUCAGUUAUAUGAUCAUGACCCCGAAUGCUUGAAGAAAACUACUGCGUUCUUUUUACCUUCAAUAACAUAAGAGCUGCGCCUUCUCGGUAGCAAGCUUUUGGCCAAAGAGGUCGCGCCAUCCUGCACAUGGUAGCAUCAGAGAGAGCAGCUCUGCCGUUCCCACCGCGCAACGUACUGAGACUCCUAUUUGCCAAUAUGGUUGCACAAUCAUCUGGACUAGGGUCAAAUGCCAUUGCCUACAACACAUCAGUCACAUGCAACUUUUAGCAAUUCCAAAAAAUAUAGUGCUCCAAGACAAUCGCUCAGAAGGUGUUAUUCUGAUUGAUAUAGAGAUCUCCGUACACAUGAAACCAGCAAAUGUAUUGGACAGGAAGAUAUAUUUCAAAGUAGGAACUUCUUACCUACAUUCUAAAAAAAAGGUACUGUGUCACCACCGCAGCCCUUUGAACACAAACUGCUCAACUACCUCAUAAUUACUAAGAGAGCAGGACGCCUAGAUUGUGGAUGCCUUGUACUGUGGAACUGACAUCCAACAGCACAUGUUUUACCAGAAAGAGGUGUGAACAAAAAUAUAGCAUCGACUGAUAUUAACAGUUUACACAUGUAAAAAAUAACCAUCACUCCUUCAGGCAAUAAAAAUGGGCCCUAGUGACUUACACCAGUAUACAUCUCUGAUGCCACAUAAUAUUUCCCUUCCUUAAAAGCCUCUGAAGCUUUCUGUUUUAGUUCAGCUCUUAUCUUCGCACAUUUUUGCUUAUCCUGACCACAAAAACGAAAGUGAUUACACCAAAUAUGUAGAACUAGCUAGUAAUGUAAAACAUGCAAAAUGCACAAAUUUGUAAGUCUCAGCCUAUAUCACCUAAUUAAUGUAUAAGACAAGAAAAAAUGAGUUGUACUGCAGUGUUGCAGGGUUUAUCCAGAAUUCAGGGUGUAUCCUAAUUAAUGUACUCCCUCCGUAAAUCUAAAUGCUCUUAUAUUUCUUUACAGAGGGAGUACACCAUACGGUCAUACCCAAAGACUAGAAGUUUGCUAAGAGUGAUGCAAUGCACCAAAAGUAAAAUUUGCACGGAAUGUUUUGUUUGCACAAUGAAGUUUACAAUAAUCGUGAAAAGACUAUUUUCUACUCUAAAUGAUAGGCAGAACUGCCAAAGAACAGACUACAGGGUGAUGAUAAGUAACAUAUGGAACUGCAAGUGAGCACAGAAGGAAACACAUACCCUCGGCUUUAAACCAAAGUGUUUCACAUGAGAAAUGAUUCCAUCAAUACUCCAGUCCGACAGCGUUGAACUAGGAGAAGUUAAAGGGAAUAACAUUUCAACCAUGUCCCUACUGCCUUUAGAGGCAGCAACUUCAAUUGGUGUGUUACCACACUGCAAGAGUAAAUACCAAAUAUAAAUACAAAAUGUAAUUGGAAGAUUUACACAUUAAUAUUUAAUAGUUAGGAAUCACAGCCUAAGAUCUCAACGAAAUGGCUGGAUGGACUUCAAGAGAACCACUAUGCAAGGACAACAAAUGGUGGAACAGACUCAUUCAUCCUUCGUAACGAAAUUUGUAAGACAAGGGUUACGUCAAAUACCGUAACAUUAAUAACCGAAAGCUUCAGUUCAUAUGUUGUAUUGCAUAAACUUUUCAAAACAGAAUAGGAUGAAGAUGAUCCGAACACCAAAAUAUGAAUGGAAGGGGCAAAAGAAAUCUUUGCAGAAGUAGCAUUUUAUGUUCCUUUGACCAGGCUAUGAAGAAGCUGGAGUUUUUUUUUUCAAUUCCUAGUUCAGUAGACAAGAAACAUUUACAUGACUAUAAACACACAUCUCUUUGUCUAACUCCCUCCCUCCCUACCUGCAAUCCCUGCUGCACCGGUGCCGACCUCCAUUGCCUCCUGGCCAGAGUCGAAGUUCAGGUGGGGCGAAGGAGUCCUUGGUGGGACACAUCGUCUGAUCCUCUUCUAAGCGUCUGAUGCAUCGAUAGUAGUGUCCCACACCAAAUCAUCGAGGCACUGGGAUGUUGGUACCAGCAGAAACCUAGGUAGUGAUGGAUUUCAGUGCCAAAUGCUUCGAAGAUUUCAGGUUUGCGAUUUACAUUGAUUUAUUACUGUUCACUGAUAUAGCUAUAUUUUUUAUACAGUAUUGGCAUUUUCUUCUUUUUGGUUGUGUUGGCUGUGUGCAUAGUGCACAGCAGAGGCUGGGCAUUCGCUCAGUGUGGUUGUAUCACCUCGAUAUAUCGACUGAAUGUAAAUGUCCUUUAUAAAAAAAGCUAUAUUUUUAUCAUAAAUAACUAGAAGUAAAGCACCAGUACUGAUGUUCUUCACAUGUUAAUUUUUAGAUUUUUGUAAUCUUUGUAAAAGCAUAAGGCAAGUGUGAGAAAAAUGACCGUACAUAACUACACCUUAGCUUGUACACCCUACUUUAGGGUAUCUAUGACCUGGGCACAAGAAACUUUAUACUCCCUCCAUUCCCUUAUACAAGGCCACUAUGAGAAAUACAUUUUGCAUCUAUACAAGGGCACUAACAGUAACCAAGGCAAAAUUUAAUGAUGUUUUCUCAUACUAGCAACUUGUUUAAUACUUGCAUGCAUGUAGUCAUAAUGACACUGUGCUACUUCCUUCUCAUUGCUUCCUUGCAUGCAUGUGGGCAUAUUAAUGAUCCCAGUUAACAAGAAGAGUUGGCUUGCAAAGUAGUCAUUAUAUUUUACCUAGGUACCUGUAGUUUGAGUUUGUGGCCUUGUAUAAGGGAAUGGAGGAAGUACCAUCAAUUCUGAUGAUACAGCGAAAGUAAACAGAGAUGCAUAUUUUCGUCAUACUUGUAUCCUUUAUAAUAGAGAUUUUGUUUUGACGGGAGCCUUUAUAUUUCUGUUCUGUUAGGUCGUGAAGCAGGGCAUACAGUAUCUGUAGAUCUAUUAAGAGGUAGUUAUUUGGUUCUGAACUUCUGAUUGUGGCCAAAAGAUCAAGUAGGGAAAUGUUAGAAAAUAUGCAACUUGUAUUCCCAUGGGGCCAUAGGCCACAUGUAUAGGCGUAGAAAAUAUGCAGAAAACCCCUUAUACAAUGGGCUAAAUACAAAAGGCUACAUGGCUAUAUAUAAACUACUCAACCCCCCCCCCCCAAACUCGUGGAUGAACAACACUAGGUUUGGAGAGAUAGAAGCCACGCUGCGCUCUAGCCUAGGCCUUCGUAAAGAAAUCCGCCAACUGUAACCCAAAAGGCACAUACUGAAGAGCAAUAACCUGAUCCUGCACACCAGCACGCACAAAAAAAGCAGAAAACACCAAUAUGCUUGGUGAGCUCAUGCUUCACAGGGUCACGUGCAAUGCUAAUAGCACAUGUACUGUUAGACAAGAGCAAAGUAGGUGUAGUGACAAAAACACCAAACUCCUGAAGUAGCCACCACAACCAUGUUACCUCCGUUGUCAAAAGAGUCAUAACAUGCAACUCAACCUCUACAUUGGAACGGGAAACUACAGUCUUCUAGGCUAUGAGAGAACCACCAAGAAAAACACAGUAUCACUAGCCCACGUAGCAUCUGAAUAGUCCUGAAGCUGUAAUAAACUGGAGCGGGGAAAGAUCAUGUGGUGAGAGAUCGUGUCGUGAAGAUAUCAGAGAACAUGAAGGAGGUGAUUGUAGUGAACCGAAGUGGGAGCAGGAACAGACUGACUCAAAAUAUGGACAACAUAGGAGAUAUCUGGAUGAUUGGCAGCUCGAUAGACAAGACUCCCAACAAGAUGACGAUAACACGUCAGAUCAGACAAGGGGCCACCAUCAGUCUCACGAAGGUGAACAUUGAGCUCCAUGGGAGUCUCAAUAGUGCGCUCAUUAGUAAGAGCAACACGAGCAAGAAGAGCUUGGAUAUACUUUUCUUGGGAUAUAAAAAAUCCAACAGAGGUAGAAGAGACCUCAAUCCCAAUAAAGUAGCAAAGAGGACCAAGAUCAGAUAUGAGAAACUGCUCACUAAGUCUUGUCUUCACAAAGGCAAUAAACUCGGGGUCUUCAUAGAGGAAGAGGCCCACCUCGAGCAGAAAGGUGGACAAAACAGCACGGGAUCAUGAGCACUCACUGAAAAACCAGCGACAAUCACCACAGAGGCAAAACACUCAAACCAUGGCCCAAGGGGCCAUAUAGAGAGCGACGAAGACGACAAACCAUGCCGUCGGGAAUAGAAUACCUAGGCGAUGGCUGCAUGUAAACCUCCUCACACGACUCACUAUUAAGAAAGGCAUUAUUAACAUCAAGCUAGACACAGACAAGUGGCGAACAGAGGCAACGACAAGAAGUGUGCAAACAGUGGCCAUAUGGGCCAUAGGAGCAAAUGUCUCAUUGUAAUCAAGACCAUGCUCCUGCUAAAAGCCACGAGCCACAAGACGAACUUUGUAACGCUCAAGAGAACCAUCGGAGCGGGUCUUAACCUUGUAGACCCACUGACAAAUGAUGGGACGAACACUGGGAGGAAGAGAAAAGAUCCCACAUGACGGUGCGCUCAAGAGCACCAAUCUCCUCUGCCAUCAAAAGCUGCCAUAUAGAGUGAACAACAACAUUGCAAUAAAAAGUUGGCUCAAGGACAACAGCGCCAGCACUUGAAAACCAAGGCGGUCAACAGGCAAAAGCGGACGAGGACGCAAACCAUAAGUAGGCUAAGACGAGGAAGAUGGCACAUCAGUAGACGCAUCCACAACAGGCGGACGACAAGUAUAAUAUUGAGGAAAAGAUGAAAGAAUACGAGGAAUCACCAGAAUAGGCGAAGGUGACGGAGAAGACACCAGGGAUGAAGGUGCAGAAUCUUGUGACAAGCGAGAUGAGGAAACCAUGGGAUAUGGUGGCGUCGGACCUGCAAUAGUCGAAGAAGCAGGGGUAGUAGGACGGACGGGCAAUGGCUGAAUGGGGGUGAUAGGUGUGUAAGGAAAGGCGAGGAAAGAUAUAUCCUCCACUAAAAAGGUCGAGGAAGAUGGACGCGGGUAGAAGGGACGAGACUCGUCAAAAGUCACAUCCCGAGAAAUACGCAUCCGACGACCAACAAGAUCCCAACAACAAUAGCCCUUCUGCUCAUCACUAUAGCCUAAGAAGACACUCAACGGUCUGAGUGGUCAGUUUGGUGCGUUCACCAGGGGCAAGAAGAACGUAGAAAACACAACCAAACAAACAAAGCGCUGAAAUAAUUAGUAGAACGAUCAAAGAGACGCUCGAAAGGAACGCCACCCUGGAGAGCAGCGAUUGGUUAAAGGUUGAUGAGAUAGGAAGUGAAGACAACCUCAGCCCAAAAAGUGAGGAAGAGAGGCAUCGAUCAUCAACGCACGAGCCAUCUCAAGAAGGUGACAAUGCUUGCGCUUAGUCACACCAUUCUGAGCAUGAGCACUAGGACAAGAGAACUGACCAAGAGUCCUCUGCUUAGCAAUAACACCACGCAACAUCUUGGAAAUACUCACCGGUGGAGUCAGCACGAAACACACGAAUAGGCGAAGGGAACCAACAAAACACUUAUAUACGGACAAAACCUCACUGCGAUGGCCCCUUUUGAAGCGAAGGGGGCCAGACCCCAUACAUCGAAAUGAACUAAAUCCAAAAGACACUGAGACACUAACUCACUAGUAGGAUAAGGUAACUAAAUCUAUGUGCCAAGCCAACAACCCUGGCCAUCUAAAGAGAUGUUUCCUAAGACAGAGCUCAGAAGACCUCGACGAAUUAAAGACAACAAACGAGAACCACAAAGAUGACCAAGUCGAUGAUGCUAGGAAGGAGUCGGUAGCUGAAGCGACGAAAACAGAUGGACUGGCGAUAGUGGUGGCAGCGGAAAGAACAUGAAACCAGUCUAACUCCCAAAGACCCCGAGAGUCACGGCGACGAGGGCCCUAACCAAACUGUGCAUGCGAUGAUCCUGAACAGAACAAGAGUCAACGUCAAGGAUGACGCGACAACCACAGUCAGUAAGCUGACCAACAGAAAACAUAUUCAUGGUAAGUCGAGGAACAUGAGCAACAUAAAAAACCGAAUAAGUAGUGACAUUGCCUCGGCUAACAACAAAAAGAGUACCAUCAGCAGUGAGUACAUGAACAUGAAAAUCCAGAGAUCUAAGAGAGGACAAACCGAAAGAAUCAGAAGACAUAUGAAAAAAAGCUCCAAAAUUCAGAACUCAAGGGGAUGUCCUAGCUGUGUAGAGGGUGGUCGCUCAGUGCGGGAAGCAUCAAUCACAAAACCUAUAGUACGGAUGAAGAACCUGAUGCGGCAAGUAGACAGUGCAAAGAAAAUCAAGCUGGCGCUAGAUAGCAGAACUCUGUGUGUAGAACUCAUCAACGAUGGAGUCGCCCUGCUGAAGUGCAUGCUCCUCGCGAACCACAAUGAAGUAUAAAGCAUCACCAGAGCUGAUAGCGCUGGUCAGGACGGGUCCACAUCUCAAAUAAGAUAGCAAGGCCAAGGAACUCAAAGGCAAACUGAGGCAGAACAGUCGCAACACAAGCAUCACCAUCUAACCACCGAGUGUAAGCAGACAGAGCCUCAUGAUAGGUGGGAUGAUCCUCAUAGGUCAAAACCUGCUCAUCAUAAGCAUGAACAGUAGCCUCAUCAGCAAGCUUAGUUGCAUCCUUAGCAGCCCGAGGAGCAUCCACAACAAGAACCAAUGGCUUUGGCGGAGUAGGAGCCACGAGGAACCGGGCGCGACAUACAAGGGACCUUGCCAGAAAGAACGCCCCAGAGACGAAAACCACGCAUAUGGAUGCGCAUGAGGCCAACGAACUCAGUGUAGUUAGUACAAUCAAAGAUCAUCGGACGAGGAACUGCAACAUAGCCCGACGAUGUAGACAUUGUACCUGUUCUUUUUUUUCCUUUGCUAGUCAACCAACCAAACAAAACUAGAGACCAUGAAACGAAGCAAGCUUCAGCCGCUGGAGGAAGAUGGCGCCAUCACAAAUCAGGACCGACGGAAUCCAGCAGGAGGCGGCAGAAUCCGGGCGCUGGAAUGAAGUCCGACGGUUGGGGGCAGAAUCCAACAGCUUAGGACGAAAUCCGACGGCUCAUGGCGAGGCUCCGGCCUUGAUGGGAGGCGGGUUGCCCGAAUUAGGACUUGGAGCAGCCGAAUCGAGACAGGCAGAAGGAUCAGGGCCGCGGCAGCUGACUCAAAAUCAAGGAGGCGUUAAGCAGGGCCUCCGCCUGGACCGGGUGUUGACUGGAUGGGCGCCUGGAUUGGGUGUUGACCAGACGAAGUACUUGGGAGGGUGGGCAGCAACCGGAGCAGAGGAAAUGCAGCCACUUAAGGAAACGAAGCAGCGACAACCGGCGAGGAGACCACGGCGGUGCGAGUAGAGGACCAAGCACGAGUUGCGCGUGCUAAAAAAACCUAGGCUUUAGUACCAUGUUAGGAAAUAUGCAACUUGUAUUCCCAUGGGACCAUAGGCCGGUAUAUAUACAUGUACAUGUGUAGGAAAUACGCAAAAGACCCCUUAUACAAUUGGGUAAAUACAAAAGGCUACAUGGGUAUAUAUAUAGUACUCUAACAGGAAAUAUCAUAAUCAAUCGUGCUGAUCUGAGAGUGAAAUUAUUCAGAUGGAUUUUCUUGAUCUUACAUGGGAGGUUAAUCGAUGAUAUCAAGCAUGACUAAGUGAGAUGGAUUGAAGAGAUUGAGGAAUAUUGCUAUAGGUUUGGUAUCUCCGAUUAAUUGGUAGACUAUGGUACAAUAACUGAUAACUUUGCUCUACCAUAAGUUACCUAUUUUUUACAUCCUUUUGCGUCUGUAUUUAGUAUUGUAUUUAGUAUUCACAGUACCUGCAACACUUAAACCAAGGUGCAAGAAGGUACCCUCACAGGAUAAGAAAGUGAAAUAAGGCUACUGAAUUCCCCUGACCAUGUCUAGGAAUUAACCGGAGUGAAUGCCAGAUGUAUAAAUACAACCUAACCUAUGUUUUCAAGGCGUCCAGGCGCUUUAAGGCGCUGGGGGGGGGGGGGCGCCUCAACGCCUAGGCGCUCAAAGCGCGAGGCGAGGCGACGCCUUAGACACUUAUUAUUAGGCGCUAGGGGUACUAAUAUGGCAGCCUUGGGAGAGGGCUGCCGGCGGCGGAGGAGCUUGGCCGGAGAGGGGGAGGGCCGCCGGAGAGGGGAAGGGCCUGCGGAGGAGGAGCUUGGCCGGAGAGGGGGAGGCCGGCGGAGGAGGAGCGGAUCUGGGCCGGCGGCAUGAGGAGAGAGCUCCUCUCUCUUUUCCCCUCGAUUUGCAGUCACGGGUGUGUUCCCCUCUCUCUCCUGCCUCUUUUUACCCCCUCUCUCCCGCCCAAUUUCUCUUCCCUCCCGCCAAUUCCUCUUUCUGGCGCGCGCCAGCUGCUGGUUCCCGCUCAACCUGCCCACGCAUGUCCAGGGCGUCCAAAAUCAACUAAAGCGGCGCCUUAUCCGCCUAGGCGACGCCUUGGACGCCUCAACAGCACAAGGCGGACGCCUUAGAUAGAAAACUAAGGCGACGACGACGCCUUGACGUCCCCAAGCGCUCUGACGCCUAAGCGUCGCCUAGGCGACGCCUUGAAAACAAAGAACCUAACCAUUCCAUUUUAUAAUCCAACAUAAGUUUGACUCGUGCAUUUUUCUUCAUCGCAACUGAAAUAUGGAUUUCGGUUAUGCACAGAAGCAGCAUAUUCUCUUCUGCUUGCUGCAUUGCAUAUUGCAUAUAUAGUCGUCACAAAUGUCAUAAGCCUUGACCUUAACCAAUAAAAUGUAGGUUAUGUGUGACAAAAAUUGUACCAUUAAAUUCGUAUAUAAAGAAUUUUCCGAUGAUACAAUUUUUAAGUUACAUGACUUGUGUAUUAUUUCUAUAAUCGAUGGUCAAAAUUAAAUCUUGAGAAGUGUGUGUCCAUCUUUUUGUAGUCGGAGGAAGUAGUGUUUUAUCCUCAUGUAAGCCUAUUCCUGGCAUCAGAGGAAGUGUGGGUAAGAAGAUUAUCCUAAUCUGUCAAGUGUCAAGAGUCUACAGCCACAUUUUUUUUUAAACAAGAUCUACAGCCUAACAUGACCUCAUAGAGAAAAAAUGGAACAAUGUUCAGCUAACUUACAGCAUAUGCAUGAAAAGUAGAUGAUGACGAGUGACAACAGCAAAACAGGAAAACAAGUAAGGCUCACUUCAUCAGGAAUAUUGGGGUUAGCACCAGCAUCUAGCAAGAACUUCAUGAUGCCAGGGAAGCCAAACUUCACUGCCAACAUCACGUAACUACCACCAUCGAAGUCAAUAAAAUUCAGAUCUGCACCAGCCUGUGCAAAUGAAUAAUUAUUUGAUCAUUUGUUUGAGUUAAUGCUUGAUAUAUCAGCCACAGAAAACAUAUACACAAAGAAAAUGAAGCUGUGCCUACAGAACUUUAACAAAGCUCCACACGGAGAAAGAGUACUGACCUUAACAAGUAGCUUGACACAUUCCAGCGGCUCUCUAGACAUGGGCUCGAAGGCCCUGAUGGCCCAACUCAAUGGGGUAUAACCAAGACCGAAAACCUUGUUAGGCUGCGAAAAGUGGAAGAAUCAAUGACUUACACUUGUCAAAAAAAUAAGGGACCAAUAGAGAUUAAUUCUGAGAUAAGUCAAUAGAGAAAUAAAAUCUACGUGUGGUGUGUUAAUUAUAUUGGUAUUUCUGAAGGCAACAGAAAGAAAUAUAUUUACAUAGAAAUUAGGCAUAACAUGUCCUUGGGUCCUGGGAAAGUGAGCACAUUUUACUUUAGGAUAAUUAAGUACUACAUCCUUCCCAAUAUAUAAGGCGCGCUUGACUUUGCAUGGUCUUUGAUGCAUUGACUUUGACCAUUAAUAUAUACCGAGGUACAUGGACUAAACAUGUAUCAAUAAUACCAUCGUAUUUGUCUUGCGAAACAAUUCUAUUUCAUAUGUCUUUAUAAUAAUUUUGUAGGCAUACAAUAAGUGCAAAUCAUAGUCAAAGUUGUGCAAUGAAGAACCAAAAAAGUCAACGCGCGCCUUAUAAUUUGGGAAGGAGGGAGUACUGUCCAUGAUGAACUUUUGUUGCUUCAAAUACAAUGCAAUCUUUUGUUAAGAUGGAGCACAGGUAUCAAAGGCAACCAGAUUUUCCAUUCCAAUGCAUUCCCAAAUAUAGAAUAUAGAGAUGGAGCACUAGUACCACUAGCCACAAGAUAUUUCCUUCCAGAGUUCUCUUUUUCACCGCAAAGAAGAGAACCAAGAAACUGGUGUCUUACAUCGGCAUGGUGCUCCAACAAAAUCUUAAUUAUGUCAUGGUCUUUAGCGAUAGCAGCUGCAUGCAAUGGCGUCCCUUGUGCAGAAUCUAAAUCCACAUCUAUUCCUCUUGAAAGCAGCAGUUCUACUAUUUCACAAUAUCCUGGAAAACGAAGUUUCAGAAAAAUGAAUGAGACAAGAAUAUUUUCCAACAUGUAGCUGAUUUUACAUAAAGGGCAGCCCGGUGCAUGUAGCUCCUGCUUGCGCAGGGUCCGGGGAAGGGUCCAACCACUUUGGGUCCUUUGUACGCGUGCAGCCUUUCCCUACAUUUCUGCAAGAGGCUGUUUCCAGGACUCAAACCCAUGACCUAAUGGUCAGAAGGCAACAGCUUUUCCCUUAGAUGUAGCUGACUAUACAUCUGCACAAAAAAAUAACUCUGGGCCAGUUUUCGGUUUAGUGAUCAUGAAUUGCCCAAUAACCUUUUUGUUUACGACAUAUCUCAUCCAGGACCAGGUUUUCAAAAGUGAUCGGAUUGGGACUAUUAAAAAUUUACUUGUUUAUCCUUGGAAAUAGAAGAAGUCAUCGAUUUUGAGCUUAUAAGAUUAUAAUCAACAACUUGGAUAAUACUGGAUAUUCAACUUCAAAAUUCCAAAUCUCAAAGUUAUUCUCCACACACAUGAUAAUGUUUCUUCGGCCAUCACCCAAAUCAUAUAUAUGGGAGCUUUGUUUGGUGGAAAUCACAUAAAAACAUAUGGCAAGAUAUGCUAAAAUAGAACGUCAAGCAUAGCACUAGCUAAGAGAGGUGUCAUAGUAGUCAACUGUCACGAUCGCACUAGCUCUGUGCCUGUGACGAGUGUUUCUUGCUAACUUUAUUCAUUAACCAAGUCUAUUCCAACAGAGACAGGCCACCAAACAAAUGUUAACCAAACUAAGACUAGCUAAUCUUAUCAAAAGAAAACUAAUAGCUAAUUUGAAGGAAUGGAUCCAAUUUGGAUCAGUCGACCCAAAAAUGCUUACUUCUCUUGAUGAUAUAUAGGGAAUUGAUUUCAUCUAACAGUGACAAAUUCAAGUUUUAUUUUAUAACAGGAUGAAACAAUGACAAAUUCAAAAUGGUUAACCAUGCCCUUUUCCACGUCAUAACCUAGCCUCCCCCUUGUGGGUUGAAAACGAAGGUUCAUAUGCCUAUCCUUCUCCAUUUCUAAUUCCCUCCAUUCAAAUACAGGAUUAGAUUUAACUACAGCAAGCAUUUUUUUAUUCCAAUCAUCCAUAUCACUAAAAACAAGCGAACCCUGAAGGAUAGCAAUAAAACGGUUGACAGUAUCAAAGAAGAGAAUCACGUCUCCUGAACCCCUUUCCAGUUCUUAUUGCUAUCGCAGUUCCAUUGAUAGUUUGUCAGAGUCUAAUGCUGCUUAUAUCCAGCGAUGUGGCUUUCUAAGGCAAAAAACCAGAUGGACUAUGUAUGCGCUGACACAUGCAAUGAGCCAAUGAAUAAGCAUACUUGUUGGGAAAGUGAGAGACCUUCCUUUGCAGCGGCAUAGAGAGGUGAGUGUACUUUGCCAGCUAGUGGAUCAGCACCAUGAUCAAGAAGAUAUCUUGCAGCAGCAGCUCUCCCAUACAAGACAGAAUGGUACAGUGGUGUGUCACCUGCAACAGCCAAAAAAAUAAACAUGAGGAGCUCAACAAAUUCACGCCAAUCCUGCCCUCAAUACAAAAAAUUGUACACAAGAGAGCCAAAUGUGGAAAGAGAACUUCACCAGCGCAGUAACAAAUGCCUUUCCAUCUGACACAUGUUUACUGUUGACAAAAUUGUACAACGGCAGGCAGGGAAGACAUUUUAGAUACAGUUCACAAAUGGUGGUUUGCCCAUAUAACAUAUCCAAAGCAAAUCGACGAUGUUCGUGGUAUAGUGCAUGGACUCUCUGGGCAUGGCUGUGUGCAUAUAUUGGAUAUCUUAACUCCUCUUGUUACUUGGUCCCAAUUUACAAAUGUAUACAACAUGUAACACCAAAUUUGAAGCCUGAGAUGCAAAUUCCACAUGGUAGUAACUAAUAGCUGAAGAAUAAGCAUAAAUACAUGAACAAAAGUUGACGAAACUGCGAAUUGACGCGAAGGGAAGCAGGGAAGGGAACACCACCUAUGAAGUUGAGUUGAUUGACAUCGAGGCGGAGGUCCUCGACGAGGUACCUGCAGACCUCGACCCGACCCGACCCGGCCGCCAGGUGCAGCGCGCGGUCCCCUACGCCGUCCUCCACCGUGCCCAGGACGGCGGCCUCGCCUGGGCCUCCCGAGCCCAUCCACCGCGCCAUCUCUUCGCAACGCGAGAAAUGGGAGCCAAGUCAGGCACUAAAUCCGUCAAGCUACUACCAUUAUCAAACCCUAAGAAGGAAGAGCGUAAGGAAGAUGCGGGGUUACUCUUGAGGAGUCGGAGGUUGCCGUCGGAGGCGGCACGGAGGAGCGCCUCCUCCCGCUGCUGCUUCCCCAUCGCCUCCAUCUCCAGGGGUCGAGCAGGCGGCGAGAGGGAGUGGCGAAAUUUCGAGAGCGGCAGUGCGCUGCGUGGUGCGGGGUGGAGAAGAAGGGGAGAGCCGGAGGGGAGGAGUCCGUGAGCCCUGGGCCGUGGGAGCAGAGCAGGCAAGAUGUUGUGACGGGGAAAAUGUGAUUUUGUUUUGAUGGUUCGAGAGCCCAUGGCCAUGGCCAAUGCCUAGGUAAACAUUGAAGCCCAAGCUUUGUUUCUUAUUUUUAUUUUUGAAAGGCAAACUCUGCCAGAGCAGACCAUAAGCUUGGCUUUCGUUUGUUUUCUUAUAUUAUUAUAUAAAAUCUGCACACGAAUAUGUAUUAUUUUUUUGCAGGUGAGCACACGAAUAUGUUUUUUUUGUGUGAAAUGGGAUGCGUACGUAUUUGUAUGAUUUUUUUAGCAGAUAAUAAGAGCCACCACUGUUAAAAGAGCACGCAAGCGCCCCCCCAGCCCCGAUGCGGGUGUGGAGUCAGAGUGCCACGUCCACGGUCAUUGUUGAAUGUGAAGCCGGUGAUGAUCUGUCCACGACCGCGGGGAGGGGGGGCACUUCGUUAAACUAGUUGAAGUGAGAGAGAGGAGGACGCUGGAAGGGGAGAGAGGAGCACUCGCGUGUGGAAGAGGAGAAGGUGACAGCCGCAUCUGGUGAAGGAAGACCUAGGGAACGAGCGCUCCUCUUCCUCUAUUUUUCUGUCCAAUACGCAAGGGGCGCUGCUACAAAUCAUCCGACUGAUUUCCUCGGGAAAUCAGUCGGGUUGGUAGCCGUCAGAUCAAUCGUGCCUAAGUCGUUGGAUAGGGCAACGCUGCGUCAUCGCUUCCUUCCUCCCCCGAGCGUCAGUCCAUGGCUUCCUUCUUCCUCGCGCACACGCAUCGGUUCGCCCCCUGCGUCACUGACAGUAGCAACGCCUAUGAGCAGCGCGCGGCGGCGACGGAUCCUGCAUCGCCGGCGACCAUGGCUGAUAUUGCGAUGCAACCCACGGUGACGGAAGCUGCGACGCAAGCAGCGAUUGCUGUGAUGUAGCGCCGACGAUGACGGUGAACGCUACGAUGCAGUGCCAGCGAGGAAGGGUGUUGCAACGCAGCACGCGGCAGCCAUGGCAGGAGCUGUGAUGCAUCGCCGGAGACGACGGUGGAGUGGUUGCUAGGAUGCAGCGCCGGCGAAUGCUGCUAUGCAGUGCCGGCGACGACGGGUGGUGCAACGCAACACGCGACGGCCAUGGCGGGAGCUGCUGCAGCGCUGGCGACGACAGCGGAUGCUGCGAUGCAGCGCCAACGACGACGGGUUGUGCGAGGCAGCGCACGACGGCCAUGACGGAAGCUCGCGAGGCAGCACGCGGCGACCAUGACGGAAGCUCGCGAUGGAGCGCGCGGUGAUGACGGGGAGCUGCUAUGCAGCCACGGCAAAGCUCCAUUGCACACCGCAGGAAGCUCCAGGCCGCCGGUGGAGCUCCAUUGCAGUACCAUUGCAGCUCAGCCGCCGGCGAGCGCUGCAUAGCAGCACCGGGGAGCCGCCUACAAGCGCUCCACUGCAUCGCCGCCGCGCACCCCUCGCCUGUUGCAGCGCCGUCGCGCGACCCCCGUUGCGGCACAGGUGACCCCCCGCAGCAGCGUCCACGGGCGGCUUGCAGCAGGCGUUGCCUCCCGAGCUGACCACGGUAGCACAUGGGUGGCAUGCAGCAAGCUUCUGAUUUCCCCGGUGAAAAUAGAGAUGGGGCUCCUACAACACCAGUAGCAAUAUAGUAUGUAUGUCUUUGGAAGCAUCGUAAUGCAAUCGUGUUUGACGGCGCGUCACCAUCGGUUGAGAGGCUCAUUGACAAGGUAAAGUCUGAGUGCGCGCUGUGGACAUCAGCGGGUCUGUUCAAAGGGAAGUUGGAGGGGUUCCUGGGUGGAUUACAUCAGUGGAUGAAUAGGGAGGAGUAGGAUAUGUAUAGAUGUACGUAGAGUGUGUACGUGUUGUAAGGCCGUACAAGCUUGUAAUGUAACUGUGGAGGCAUACUUUGCCCUUCUUCUUUAAUAUAUGAUAUGCACACUCAUGCAUAUUCUAGAAAAAAAAAAGAUGGGGCAGGAGGUAGAGGAAGAGCAUCGACCAGGGAAAAGAGAUGCAUUGUAGAGCCACGGGAGAGCUGGGUCAACGCCCAGCUGCUUUUUUGUGGCCGAGACGUAUCGUGUGGGGAUAAGGACGGGGUGGAGAAGCGGUGUGCGGGUCUCCACCGGGACACGUGCCGCACGUCGGAGGAGGCUUACGCCACGCUGAAAUCAGGCUAGUCAUAGUGGGAGUAACUUAGAUAGUAACAUAGCGCAUUACAAUUUUUUUUUGCUUAUGUGGCAUGUAGUUAAUGCGGAGAGAGGUGUUUAGAGUAACAUAAUAUGUUACUGUAACAUAGCGCAUUCCGAGAAAGAAUGAGUCUACAAGCUAAUAAAUGAAGCCAUCUAUGAUACUACUACUAUGUUACUUCUAUGAAGAUAGUAACUUAGACUAGUGUCAUAUGUAUGACACUAGUAUAAGUUACUCCCCACUAUGACCAGCCUCAGCCGGCUGUUUUUAAACAAUUUCCACACGCAAGUGCGCGCUAUUGUAUCCGACGUGGCAUAGCCCAACGAGCUCCUUGCGUUUCGCUUCUGAUGGAUGUAAUUGUGUUACACGUCAGGGGUCCAUCUUCAAAAAAUACUCGUCUUGCUUAUAUUUUCUGAUCAUCAAGUAUUGAUCGCCUUCGUACAAAGUGGCAGCCUGGUUUCCAUUUCAAAUAAGCAAAGGAGAUACGAAACCGUGAGAAGAUACUACAAAAGGAAAACAAUUUUGCCUUGUAGUAAUAAAUUGCAUCAAUACUUGAUCCUACGAGCAUAACUUAUUACAAACCGGUGAAAGGGUUCAUGGCACCAGCACUAGCACCAGGGCAACGACUCUGGUGACAUGGUGGAUGCUACAAUGCUAGUGUAGAGACCGUAGAGUGACAACGGUAGAUCUGUGCCUUGACAUGAGCAGCCUUUUGAUGGCCGAGGCGGUGGUAGAAGGUGAGAAGACAUCCAUCGAUUUCUUUUUAGAAAAGGAGGACCCCGGCUCUGCAUCUGGACGAUGCAUGCGGUUACUUUAUUAAUUAUUCUCACAAGACCGUACAAAGUCAUACAACAAUAAACUAAAGCCACCGUCUAAGCAACAACUGUCGCUACACCUAUCCAAUUGAUGAAGGGAUGCUGAUAGUCUGGGCCUAAUACCAAACAGACAUCACAGCCAGACCUAAUAUCUAUGACCUGAGGUCCCAACCAGGACGCCUGCCGGGUAUGGACACCCACCAGUCCGGCGUGCUCCUCAACCAGGACGCCUGCCGGGUAUGAGGCCGUCGCAGCCACUUGCCACCAAUCCAUCUUCAGAGCUGUACUGCUGCAUCAACCUUGCCCGGUCUAGCUGCCGUCGACGCCACCACGACACCAGACAACGUCGACCUCCUGCGCGUGUCCAUCACCACACAUCUGACGUCAAGCCUCCGCUGCUCCAUGCCGCCAAGAGCCGCCGCCAUAAAUAUGUAGAAAGAAACACCGCUCCACCGAAGAAGCCAUCCGCUGGUCCCUCGAGCCCGAGUGCAUCUCCAAGAAUGCCGCCCCCAAGGGGGUAACGACGCAUGAAUGACGCCGUCAUCCGAUCAACUGAUCUAGGGUUUCCCCCGGAGGUAUUGGGUGGGUUUGGGAUUUGUACCUCGAUGAUGCCUUCAUGAAGGAAACGAUGAUAAGGGCAUCGUCAUCACAGGCUCCGGCCAACGACCGAAGACCAAGUUUUCACUCGGAUCCGUCCCAAGAAAUCCACCCAACAACCUGUGCACUGUCUCGACCGCCUUCAAAGCCCCAGAUCUAGCCGCCUAGAUCCGGCGACCAACCGCAACAGCAGUGCCACCGUAGGAGCCCUGGCACACCGGCCACUGCCUGAAUGCGGCACCAUGAUAAUCCCCAAGUGCAGGGAAUCAUCGUAGCAAUUUCUAAAGGUGGAAACGAUAAGUAUGGAGUGUCGAACCCACAAGGAGCUAAAGGUAAGAUCAAUAUUCUCUCAAGCCCUAUCUGCCACUGAUACGACUCUACGUACACCGAACGUUUGCUUCCAACUAGCAACGAGAAAUAGAACUACGUUGUGGGUAUGAAGAGGAUAGCUUUGCAUGGUACCGGAGAGCUAAAACAUAAAAGUAGGUGCUGUUAUCAUAAAGUUAGAAUAUAUUACUAAAUAUUAUAAAUAGCGAGUGUGGAAUAAUGGUGGAUCGGUGUGCGGAAUUGUCCUAGGCAAUUGUUAACAACACCGGUAGUCGUCAUUGCAAUUUCAUAUGAGGGAGAGGCAUAAGCUAACAUACUUUCUCCACUUGGAUCAUAUGCACUUAUGAUUGGAACUCUAGCAAGCAUCCGCAACUACUAAAGAUCAUUAAGGUAAAACCCAACCAUAGCAUUAAAGCAUCAAGUCCUCUUUAUUCCCAUACGCAACAACCCCCUUACUCGGGUUUGUGUUUCAGUCACUCACCAACCCACUAUAAGCGAAUCAUGAACGUAUUGCAACACCCUACAGCGGGAAUCCCUCACGCUUGCGCGACACGGAGGGCACCAUAGGACAGCACCAAAAUAAAACAUACAACUCGUAUCAAUCUAGAUCAUCAAUCAACCCAAAGACAAAGGAUAUCUACUCAAAACAUCAUAGGAUCGCAAUGUUGGGGAACGUAGUAAUUUCAAAAAAAUUCCUACGCACACACAGGAUCAUGGUGAUGCAUAGCAACGAGAGGGGAGACUGUUGUCCACAUACCCUCGUAGACCGAAAGCGGAAGCGUUAGCACAACGCGGUUGAUGUAGUCGUACGUCUUCAUGAUCCGACCGAUCCAAGUACCGAACGUACGGCACCUCCGAGUUCAGCACAGUUCAGCUCGAUGACGUCCCGCGAACUCCGAUCCAGCAGAGCUUCACGGGAGAGUUCCAUCAGCACGACGGUGUGGUGACGGUGAUGAUGAUGCUACCGACGCAGGGCUUCGCCUAAGCACCGCUACGAUAUGAUCGAGGUGGAAUAUGGUGGAGGGGGGCACCGCACACGGCUAAGAGAUCAAGAGAUCAAUUGUUGUCUCUAGAGGUGCCCCCUGCCCCCGUAUAUAAAGGACCAGGGGGGAGGAGGCGGCCAGCCAGGGGAGGGCGCGUCAGGGAGGAGUCCUACUCCCACCGGGAAUAGGACUCCCUAGUUGGAGUAGGAGGGGGAAAGGAAGGGAAGGAAAGAGGCGGAAGGAAAGGGGGCGCCGCCCCCCCUCCUUGUCCAAUUCGGACUAGAGGGGGAGGGGGGGCGCGGCCAGCCCUAGCCGCCCCUCCUCUUCUCCACUAAGGCCCAUCUUGGCCCAUUAAACUCCCCGUGGGGUUCCGAUAACCCCCCGGUACUCCGGUAUAUGUCCGAAACUCCCCGAAACCAUUCCGGUGUCCGAACAUAGUCGUCCAAUAUAUCGAUCUUUAUGUCUCGACCAUUUCGAGACUCCUCGUCAUGUCCGUGAUCACAUCCGGGACUCCGAACAUCCUUCGGUACAUCAAAACACAAAAAAUCAUAAUACAAUCGUCACCGAAACUUUAAGCGUGCGGACCCUACGGGUUCGAGAACAAUGUAGACAUGACCGAGACACGUCUCCGGUCAAUAACCAAUAGCGGAACCUGGAUGCUCAUAUUGGCUCCUACAUAUUCUACGAAGAUCUUUAUCGGUCAAACCGCAUAACAACAUACAUUGUUCCCUUUGUCAUCGGUAUGUUACUUGCCCGAGAUUCGGUCGUCGGUAUCUCAAUACCUAGUUCAAUCUCGUUACCGGCAAGUCUCUUUACUCGUUCUGUAAUACAUCAUCUCGCAACUAACUCAUUAGUUACAAUGCUUGCAAGGCUUAUAGUGAUGUGCAUUACCGAGUGGGCCCAGAGAUACCUCUCCGACAAUCGGAGUGACAAAUCCUAAUCUCGAAAUACGCCAACCCAACAAGUACCUUCGGAGACACCUGUAGAGCACCUUUAUAAUCACCCAGUUACGUUGUGAUGUUUGGUAGCACACAAAGUGUUCCUCCGGUAAACGGGAGUUGCAUAAUCUCAUAGUCAUAGGAACAUGUAUAAGUCAUGAAGAAAGAAAUAGCAACAUACUAAACGAUCAAGUGCUAAGCUAACGGAAUGGGUCAAGUCAAUCACAUCAUUCUUCUAAUGAUGUGAUCCCGUUAAUCAAAUGUCAACUCAUGUCUAUGGCCAGGAAACAUAACCAUCUUUGAUUAACGAGCUAGUCAAGUAGAGGCAUACUAGUGACACUCUGUUUGUCUAUGUAUUCACACAUGUAUCAUGUUUCCGGUUAAUACAAUUCUAGCAUGAAUAAUAAACAUUUAUCAUGAUAUAAGAAAAUAAAUAAUAACUUUAUUAUUGCCUCUAGGGCAUAUUUCCUCCAGUCUCCCACUUGCACUAGAGUCAAUAAUCUAGAUUACACAGUAAUGAUUCUAACACCCAUGGAGCCUUGGUGCUGAUCAUGUUUUGCUCGUGGAAGAGGCUUAGUCAACGGGUCUGCAACAUUCACAUCCGUAUGUAUCUUGCAAAUCUCUAUGUCUCCCACCUGGACUUGGUCUCGGAUGGAAUUGAAGCGUCUUUUGAUGUGCUUGGUCCUCUUGUGAAAUCUGGAUUCCUUUGCCAAGGCAAUUGCACCAGUAUUGUCACAGUAGAUUUUCAUUGGACCCGAUGUACUAGGUAUGACACCUAGAUCGGAUAUGAACUCCUUCAUCCAGACUCCUUCAUUUGCUGCUUCCGAAGCAGCUAUGUACUCCGUUUCACACGUAGAUCCCGCCACGACGCUUUGUUUAGAACUACACCAACUGACAGCUCCACCGUUCAAUAUAAACACGUAUCCGGUUUGCGAUUUAGAAUUGUCCGGAUCAGUGUCAAAGCUUGCAUCAACGUAACCAUUUACGAUGAGCCCUUUGUCACCUCCAUAAACGAGAAACAUAUCCUUAGUCCUUUUCAGGUAUUUCAGGAUGUUCUUGAUCGCUGUCCAGUGAUCCACUCCUGGAUUACUUUGGUACCUCCCUGCUAAACUUAUAGCAAGGCACACAUCAGGUUUGGUACACAGCAUUGCAUACAUGAUAGAGCCUAUGGCUGAAGCAUAGGGAACAUAUUUCAUUUUCUCUCUAUCUUCUGCAGUGGUCGGGCAUUGAGUCUUACUCAACUUCACACCUUGUAACACAGGCAAGAACCUUUCUUUGC